rnacentral:lncRNA from 1 species
AAAAAAUUACUAUAAAAUCUUGAUUUUUUUUUAAAAAAAAUUGUGAGAUCUAUUUAUGAAAAUUUACCAAUAAACUAUAUGAAUAAAUCGAAUUUAAAUAUCAAUUGAUUUAAUUUAGUUUUUAAUUUUAUUAAGAUCUUCAUGUUUCUCGAUCUAAUCAUUGAAUUUUCAAAGUUAAAAAUAUCAUAAAUUUCAUAAAAAUAUUAAAUUCAUCCAAAAAAUUAAAAAUCGGAUCAUAUAAUGACUAAAUCGAGUGAAUUUAUUUUCAGAUUUUAGUAAAUUGUAAAUAAAAAUUAAAGUGUAUUAUUUUACGCAAAAAGUUUAAAAUCUGUCAAAUAAGAAGUUUACACCUAGUGUGUUUGGUUUCACGUAAAACUGUAGAAAAACAAAAUUUCAGUGGAAAAAAAAUUUACGUCGUUUAGUAUUUAGUUUGUAGGAAAAGAAAAUUAGUUUUCUAUGACAGUUAUUUGAUUGAAAAGAAAAAUAUAAUAGAUAAAAAAAUAUUUAAUAUAUUUUUUAUUAUAUAUAUUAUUAAUAUUAAUAUAUAAUAAUAAUUAUACUAUAUAUAUUAUUAUAAUAAUUUCUAUUUAUAGAUUAAAUAUAUUUAAAAUUAUAAUAAAUAUAUUAUGUCACACCCCGGAUUACUCGUUCUCCGGGCGCGCCGACAAAUCCGCCGUAUACAAAGAAAUUUUCUCUGUAUACGAAGCGAUAGCUGUACCUGUAAAUCAUAUAAUACUACAAACAGUAGUAUAGAGCUGGUAGAAGAACCAAUAAUAAAAACAAACCGAGUUCCAUAUACAUACGCCAAAUCCAAGAUACAAUACUACUCACACUGGCGAGUUAAUAAAUGUAUGUACAUGAACUCCAACAAAAAUAACUACCUGCUGUAGGGGCACCUCUAGCUUGGCUCGUUGGGUAGGGCUCUAACUCGCAACGCCCUUGCCUCGAUCCUGAUCAGCAACAGCAGUAACCGAAGACGAUGGCUCUGCAAAAACGGGAUAACAACAGGGCGUGAGAACUACUGUAAAACAAAUAGUCCUCAGUGGGUGCCGCCCUCAACAACAUCGGUCCACCAACUAAGUCUACAAAAGGGAGCAAUGGUAGUAAUAAAUGCUGGAAUGAAAUCUAUAGCUAUCAUUUAUUACACUAUCAUGUUCUAAACUGACCUACUGUAAAAAUGUCAAUCCUGACCCAAUCUCUUUAAGGACUGUAAACAUACCCGUCCUAGAGACUGUGAACACACCCGUCCCGCUCAAUUGAAACUAUCUAGCUACCUCCACACUAUCCAGUCCGUGGAGAGCAGGUCUAACUGGCAUGAACGACACCAACACGAAAGCACAACACCCGUCUCCGAAGUGGCACUCGUGGGAACUACCCAACCGAGUAUGCAGUGUAUCUCUGUCGAGCUCAAUCAGGCUCUCUCAAGCCAAAGUCCAAGUAACCAACUCUAACUGGUCUAACAACCAACAGGUCACGUGCCGUCGGCACAAUCUGAUACCAAAAAGACGAUAUGGGUCCACCGUCAACCCCGACGGCAUCAAACAGUCCGGAACAGGCUGAACGUUACUGUAAAAAUACACUCGGCAUCCCAGCACGAGCAUAACUGAAAGCUAAACUACCUGGGGUACCCGUCGCCUCGAUACUGCGACGAUACAAAAUUACAACGGCUCCUAGAACUAAACAGGUAAUGUAAACAGGUGACAGGUCCAAAUCGCUGGUUUUCUCCUAAGUCAAGUUCCAAGUCCAACAUGUAUAUUUAUGGUUUACUAAUCAUGUCCUCAAUGCUGAUUUCAUCCAUGAUACAAUCAAUGAAAUUGAACUACAACAUGAUUUACAAAAACUGGAAAUCAUACAUGUCGACUAAUACUGUGCUUAGGAAAUAAACCGAUGUAACUCACCUUAAUUGCUAAUCCUGCCAACAAAGAAGGUCCCUCAACUGUGGGACACCCUGUCGGAACCAGCCGCACCUGCUUUCAGCUAGCAAAGAUCCACGAUCAAGAUCUAAAUAUCAAUUCCACUAAAAUCCACCAAAAAAAUCCAAUUUCAGCACUUAAGCUUGGAUUUCUCCCCACUCCAAUGUUAAAACUCAUCUAACGAUCUCCAAAUCAAGUGAGGACAAUCUCAAAUCCAGCAAAUACUGAUGGGUGAUGCAUCUCAGUUCCAAAAUCCCACUGCCUACAAAGAUAGCAUCAAGAAAAGCUCAAAAAUCUCAUUUUCAGCUCAAUAUCAACAGCAGUCCAGAAAAACCUCAGUUCGACCAAACUAAUCUCAACCAAAAUCUGUAAUUCAGGGCUUCCUGGAUUCCUCUGGAAGUCUAGAAUCUAGCAAACCAAGUUUCACCACGAUCCGACCUUCCUACGUCGCGUACGAGCCAAAACACUGGAGGCCGUCGCUGCAGGACUGCAGAAUCAGCACCUAUCAAGCUGGGAAUUGUGGAUCUUGAAGCAAUUUGAGUAGAUUUGAGGUUGAAAAUGCAAUUUAAGGGUUCACUGUGAAGAAUGGUCGAAAAGGCUUCACUGGGGUCAAGCUCCCCCUAUUUAUAGGGUGCUGGAAUGAUAAAAUAAGCCCCAGGUUCAAAAGCUGCUAACCUGGUGUCCCUGCAGAAACAGGCAUUUCUGGGCGCCCGAAACCCAAUUCUGGGCGCCCGAAACCUCCAGGCUGCACAAAUCUUCCUCCUCGGACUCUCCGCUCACGGUGUGCUGCGCCCGUAAACGGCUCCGACGGAUCUCACCUACCACCAGCCACGUGUCAACACAAACGAUAUUCACGAUGUAAAAUUUUCGGACCCACUUCUGGGCGCCCGGAAUAUAGGAUCCGAAUUGACUUCCAGUUCUGAUCAAAUCUGCACUCAACUUCUGGGCAACCCAAGACCUGUUCUGGGCGCCCGAAUCUGGCAAAAUUCCAGUUUUGCUUAUUUGAGUGCGCCGAGUCCAUUUCUGCAUCCAUUUCUUGCAGAAACGACUCCGACUCAGUUCGACACUCUCCAGAUGUAUCGACCAGUCACUAACAUUAAAGCCAAUCCUAUCCAAAGUUCAAAAACACUAUAUAUUACUUACAUAUAUAUAAUAAAAGGAAGGUCUACCGUGGACCUCCCUAUCACACGGUCCACGAGGCCGAAGUGGCCAUGUGGACCAUACAAAAUCGCUGUCAUGAUCCGUAAUUUUUUUUGCUGUCUUUUCGUUUUUCACGGCUCUUGCGUGGAAAUCAGAAGGGAGAAUUUUUCGCGUAUAUGUAAAAUUAUUAAUCAUGAAUUUUUUUUCUACGACGAACCAAAUAAGCCGCAAACUGAUUUUCCACAGAAUUUUUUUUUUUCAUCCACUUUUACGUCAAGCCAAACACACUCUAACCAUUUGUUAUCGAAACCCACGUACAUACUUUUCAUUUGCAGGUUCUACCAAAGUUGACAAACAAAAAAGGAGUUAGUACAUUUUGUCUUUAUUUCUUAACUCGUAGGGAGAUCACAAUUGUGCUUGUAACAAAAAUAAGUAUGAUAACAAUACAUGAUUGUUAAUUAUUAGGAGAAUAAUAUUAAGAAUAAAGCGAGGAAUUAAUAGUACAAAUUCUAGAGUUAGUUAGAAAACCAAUUUCAGAGGUUGUAGUUUGGAUGAUUAGCAACCUAACCUUUUUGUUCGCUUUGGCUAAUGCUAUUGAAAGGGAAAAAUUAUCCCCUCAUGCGAAUUGUGCCUUAAUUAACAUACAGUUUACAUUAAUUGAUAGUCAUAAAUUAAGCUACCGACUGUCCCUAGAGCAAGUGCCAAAGGGAUUUGUGAUUGGUACUCGAGACCCAAGUUCGAAUCCUAGUUGAUUCACAUUUCUAGCUAAGUUUAUUUCUAAAUGAAAUAAACGAAGCGGGUAGCGUGCUACCUAUCUCUCAAAAAAAAAAAAUUUAUUCUAUGAAAUACCUCAAUUCCGAUUCGAAGAUCGUGAAGACNACCUAUCUCUCAAAAAAAAAAAAAAAAAAAGAUAGUCAUAAAUUAAGCUUCAUUAAGGCUAAAUAAAGCCCUAGCAAGCUACUAUAAAAACCAAGCCUAAGUAGGCCCAUGCAGGAUGGAAUCCACUUUGCACCACUACUCAAGUUCAAAAAUAUAAAAAUGUAUAAGAGGGUCAUCCCAUUAUUUAUUGCUUGAGAUAUGCUUAAAGUUAAACUUUUUAUCUUAAACAGCAUAUCAUGGACUAUUAAUUAAUUCUAAUUUAAAAAAAAACAACCUUUGUCGAAUCAAUUUCAAACACUUGGUGUAAAACUAAGGGCUUGUGCAGUGCUAGUUGACGAAGUGUUAUAAUUUUGAGCAAUGCUUUUGGAGGAACGCACUAGUGAAAUCUCUAGAGGUUCAAAUUGGGUCUUUAAAUAUAACUUUUCGCAUCCCGCGAUAGCAAAACUUUUCUGCUUCGUGACAUAAUAUGACAUACUAGGAUACUACUAAUUUUUUUUUUUUUUUUUUUUUUUUUUUGCAAUUGAUAUUUAUGGGCUUUGUUUGACCUGGACUAAUUAUGACGCACCUCUGAACUUGUCUGUAAAUUUUGAGAUUUAAUUGUCCUUUAACUCANAAAACCUUUUCACACUUGAGAAUUACCUAGAGGAUGGUGGAUGAGGUAAGAGGAGAGUGGCUAAAAGAUAACUUUAUUCUCUCUCUUUCUUUUUUGAUGCAAAAAGCAUAAGAAUGUUGUCCUUAAGUCAAACUUGAUAUAUAACUUAGUUUGGAAGGAGAAUGUUUCUCAAUCCCUUGCAAAAGUUUUGCUAACAUAGGAAGGAAUAACUCACUUUGUGAUACGUGGGCCAGUUCGAGAGAUUAUAAAAUUCUGAAUCACUCAUUGGGGUUCUUAUUUUAAACUAAUUAAGCAAGCACUUUUAUAAGUUGUUUACAACACCUUUAAUUACAAAGGGUGAAGCCAAUAUUAUCAAAGUAAAUGCUUGGGUCGAUUCUCUCAUUGUAAAGUUGCUUAUAUAUUAUUAAUGUGUUGAUAAAAUUAUAUAAUCGUUUUUAAAGUUAAAUUUUAAUUUGCUUCAUUGUGGUAUAGUGUAUUUUCAUUUUGUCACUCCUAUGAUUUAAUUUUUUAUUUCAAUGAGAAAAGCCUAUUGACGGAUAUGAAAAUAAAGUAAAAUAUUUUGAAAAUCUCAAGGUGGUAAUCUAUUUAACAAUAGAUUCUUAUAGUGAAAUGAAAAUAAAAUUACAAAAUAAUUAAGUGUAGCUUUUUAAAAAACCUGAAGGCGGUACCUGUAGCAAUAAUUUAUUAUCAAUGAGGAUACCAAGCAUGCAUAAACCAUAAUAACAUAUCACCCACUACAAUUUUAAUGGAUUAGUAGUGGUGUCUUAGUCGAAUUGUAUAAACAAGAUGCCCUACUACUCUUUUUAACCUUUUAAUUGUGAUUCACUUUAAUUUUCCAUUUAAUGAUUUGUAUAUUAUAUGUGGUGUGGUCUGUUUUGUCUUCACCAAAUCAAAUAAUAGUUAUUUAAUUAACAUAACCAUAUUCUUCAUCGUGCUGUAAAAUUGUCUCUGCUCAAUUCUCUAUCCUUUCACAAGUCCCCUAAUUAAUAUAAUUCCGCGCAUCAUGCAUGCAUUCCUACACCAAAUAUAUAUUUGAAAUAAACAAAACAAAUAGCGUACUAUCUAUCUGUUGAGCCAGUUAGGCGCGAACAGCUGGCACACCGGGUCCACAUCCGUAAGAUGGCUAAAACGGUACACCGGACGUAUACAAGCAGUACUGGACCGAGGAGUUAUAACAACCGCAAGCAGUUACGAGUGGUUCUGAUCGGCCGAAGAUGGUCCUACGAAUCAGGAGAUAGUGGCUGAUCAUGCAAGAGCAAUAACUGACGCAAAGACGGUUCUAUAAAUAGGCAUACGAUACCCUGAAAAAGGGUCUUCGCCCCUGCGCAUAAAAGACCACAUUUAUUUUUCUGCAUCUUUCAAUUCCCGCAUCUACUGUUUUUCCUUAGGAGUAGUUCCUGUAAUUUAGCAUACUCGGAGUCUGUCUGUCCUACGGGCAUCACUCCCCUGUUUCCAUACUCGGAGUCUGUCUGCCCUACGGGCAUCACUCCCUUGUUUGUGUACUUUUUUCUUGUGCUGUUCAAUAGAAAGUCAUCUUCAGCUCUUCCUGCCGAUCAAAUCACAAGUUUGUUUGGCCAUUCGGCUCGUUUCUUAGUCGAAUUCCGGGCUUCCCCUCUCCAUUCGGCUCAUCCUGCCGAAGCGAAUUUACUGCGGAGGUUUUCGAACCCGGCUGAUUCGAUUCCUCAUCGGCUUAAUCGCUUGAUCCUCUAUAGGCGCAUAUUUCAAGGGUCAUAAUCCGCAGCCGUCUAGCAGCCCGACGAUCUUCCCGAGGAGAAUUGUUGACCGGGUCAAGAGUCGGGACGUUCAGCACGCAACACUAUCUCUCAAAAAAAAAGAAAAGAAAAUAGAGAGCAUGUGAAAUAAGGGAGCUUUUUUUUUCUUUUUUUUCCCUUGAGGAAAAAUAAAGCUAGCUGAAUUUAUUUAAGACUUGUUUAAUUAGUCCUCAUUAUGUAGGAAUUAAGAACAUAUUUGGUUCCAAGGAUUUAAGGCUUGAAAUGAAAAUCAGAAUGACUCAUUACUAAUAAUGUUAGUGUUUGGUUUGGCAAUUUUGAUUUUCAUUUUCCGGAGAAAAUUGAACCACACCUAAAGUUAUUCCCACCAAAAAUUACUCCCACCGUAGAGGUGAGAGUCAACUUUGAUUUCAAGAAGGAUCGAGAAAAGAAUUUCUUUUUAUCCGCUAAUAAUUUUUAAAAUUUAAAUAUUAAUAUGUAUAUUUAAUUUUAGAAAAUAAAAUUCUAAUUUUAAGUUUGAAUUUGAAUUAUAAAUUCAAAUUUUAAUUUUUAAAUUUUUUAAGUUCAAAUUAGAUUCUAAUAUAAGUUUGAUAUUUGAAUAUAGUUCUAAAUUUAAAUUUUGACUUUCUACUUGACUUUGAAUUAAUUAUAAAUUCAAAUUUUAAGUUUAAAUUUAGAUUCAAAUUUUGAUUAUGAAUUUGAAUAGCAAAUUUAAAUUUUAAAUAAAAUUUAAAUAUUUUGAAUUUUAAUUUGAACUUGAUUCUGAUUUCAUCUUCUCUUAUGAACCAAACAACUUAGAAGUUUUUAUCAUUAUGUUUUUUAUUACGGCCCAUUUUCACUUAAACCCACAUAAAUGUGGCAAUUUUUUUAUCAUAUACUCUAUAGAAACGAUAACAAAUUUUCUGAUGUUUUGUAUCUCCCUGGUUUAUGUGGUCUAUCUCUUAUUGUAAGCAUGUAGCCUUGUAGAUCAGUAGUAGGAGAAACUUCAAAUGCCCCACUAUAAGAUAGUGCAUUUGUGUAGUAUAUAAUUAUAUUAUCUUUUGAAGUUGGAUGCUUUGUCCUUAAUUUCAUGACCUCAGUGUUAAGUUUUUGUUCAAUGCUCAUCCAUAGAAAAUCAACAAAGAUUUAUUGCUUAAAAAGAAUUAAAGAGUGAUAAAAUGCAAAUUACAAUAUGGUACAAUAAGGUAUUUUACUAUUUUUUUGAGAAUAUACUUCAAUUAUUAAUACUUGUAUUUUGAAUUACAGAAUAUUAGUUGUUGAUAAGCAGCUAUACCUGACCAAGGGUCUCUUUGGCUUAGUUGUUAGAACAGUAAUUUUUGCUGAAUAAAUUUUAGUUUGAAAUUUUGUUUUUAUUUAAAAGUUGCAUAACAUUUGGCUGAGUUUACCAAAAAAGUAAUUUUUUUGGAAGUGAUUUCAUAAAAUGCUGGUAGAUAAUUUUUUUUUCCUACUUGGACAUAAUAAUUUUUUUUGCUAAAUUUUAUUUAAAUAAAAAAAAGAAUAUAAAUUUUAAAUUCAAAAUUAUAAUUUAAAAUUUAAAAUUAAAAAAUUUCUAAAGCAUCAGAUAGUCUUAAUGAAGAAAAUUCAAUUAUUUUAUAUAUGAGACUUAGUGUCUAAAUUUUAUAAUUUCUCAUACAUACAUAGGUCAUUUAAAUAUUAAAGAAUACAUACAAUAAGUUAAAUUUUGAUUAACAAAUCUUUUCCAUACCAACCGUCCCUAGAGCAAGUGGCAAAGGGCUUGGUGAUUGGUACCCGAGACCCAAGUUUGAAUUCUUUGAUUCACAUUUUCAGCAUAGUUUAUUUCUAAAUGAAAUAAACGAAGCGAUAGCAUACUAUCUAUUUCUCAAAAAAAAAAAAAAUCUUUGCCAUAAUUUUCUAGAGAUAUGUUCUAUAAGAUAUACUUGUACACUCGGCGCACGCAGUACUUUUUCGGAGUGGUGAGGCUCGGUCUAUACAUCGUAGCUCGAAAUCGUCAACUGUUUGGGUACGUCACACAUUUGUUACGUGAAUCGAGAUCACGAAAAGAAGGGGUUAAGAACAUUUGUUACGUGAAUCGAGACCAUGAAAAGAACGGGUUAAGAUUUUGCAUGCCAAAGCACAGAAAACGUUAUUAUUAGAGAAAUUAGAUUUCCACAUCCAAAUCCGUAGGUUUAAACCUGAUUAGUUACCUAAAACAUAGAUUCACACAAUUUUCUGAACGAGAAUGAGAUCGCAAAAUACCAUUUGUUUGACAUGUUUUAUAGGAGUAAGUACCAUUAACUUCUUGAAACAUAAAAUAUAAAUAAAUAGAAAUAUUAGAUACGCAAACUCGUAUAAAAUAUGUGGAAAACAAUGCUACCAUACUAUCGUAUAGGGACUUAGAAUGUUAAAAUCUCUAAUUCACACCAUUAACUGUUUGUGAUAUUAUCUACCUUGUGAUCAAAUAUUCAUGUCAAAAUGAAAGAUACAAAUUGAACCAUCCUUAAAAAAUAAGGAUAAUUUUUUUAAGACUAAAUUACAGAAAUUCCUCCUGUCAAAAUCCGAUUUUUCACUUUUCCCCCCUGUCAUUUAAAAACCUACACUUUGCCCCAUUGUAAAAUGAAAAAUGUGCACUUCACUCCCUACCGUUAGUGAUCCGUUAGGCUUUCGUUAUAAAAUAUUUUUUUAUGCCAAAAAUACCCCUCUGCCCUCUUCCCUGUUACUUUGCCUCCCUCCGGCUCGCCGCUUCGCCGCCGCCUCACCCUCCUCCACUGCCUCGCCCUUGCCCUCGCCCACAUCCCCUUCGCCCUCCUCCAUCGCCUCGCCUUCGCCCUCAUUGCCCUUGCCUACCUCUCCAUCAGCGCCCACCUUGAUUUUCUCCCUACUGUCACCGAAAGCGAGGGGCGGCGAGGGUGCAGGAGGAGAAGGGGAGCAGGUGGAGAAGAAAAUGGAGAGAAAUCGCGGCGGAUCGAGGUGUGAAUCGUAGCCGAUCGAGGCGGCGAUUGAGAAAGAUGAGGGAGGAGACGAAAAUGGUGAGAGGCAAAAUGGUCAUUUUACAUACCGUACCUUCCUGUGAACAUUUUUCAUUUUACAAGGGAGCAAAGUGUAGGGUUUUAAAUGACAGGGGAAGUGAAAAAUCGAGUUUUGACAGGAGAGUUUUAUGUAAUUUAACCUUUUUUAAUUCAAAAUUAAGAAUGUUUAUCUUGAUCUAACUAGCUUCUUUGUCAUUGAAAUAUUAUAUUGUUAAGAUAUAAACUCAUCAUACUAGUUAUUGAAAUUUUGAUAAUUUUGAGAUGUUAUUGAAGAUUUAGCUUCUUGGUUAUUUGGGGAUCUUCUUGGCUACUUGCCUACUAGUGACAUUUCUUGUUUGUCCGUUGCUAGAUCUUUGGUUAAUUAAUUCUCCAUUUUAUAUCAUAUAAAAAAGAUAUAUUUUCUUUCCCACAUCUCUCUAUCUCUCUCUCUUUUUUUCUCUUACCUAAAUCGCUUGUAAUUCGGAUGAUUACGAAUUUAAACUUCAAUUGGAUAAUAAUUCGAUUGGCGGAGUUGUUGCCAAAAGAUUAGGAAACAGUUAACAUGUCGUCCUCGUAAGGCACAUAGUUAAACAUCAUGUUAUCUAUAUAUAUAUAUAUAUAUAUAUAUAUAUAUAUAUAUAUAUAUAUAUAUAUAUAUAUAUAUAUAUAUAUAUAUAUAUAUAGUAAAAUUAAAGUACAAAAUCCAUCUGCAAGAUCUUAUGAAAGGUACCAUAGAAACUCAAAGUUACCCUACCAAAGAUUAAAAAGGGAAUAUUUUUUGCACUGAUUCUAUUUCUCUAUAAUAAGAUUACUUCAUCUCGUAUGCUAAAUUAUUCCUUUUUUUCUUUUUUUUUAAAUAAAUGUUCACGGUACUAAACACAAAGUUUAGGAUAAUAAGCACAAACUGGGCCCACGCACACAUAAAAGUGACACCGAGAGAAUAAUAUAAAUAGGCCAACAUAACCCAACAUCAUAACUCCCGAGCUUUUCCUCUCUCUCUCUCUCCCUCUCUCUCUCCCCUUUGUAUUAUAUCUUUCUCUACACUUGGAUCGAUCGUUCCACAUGAAGAAGAUAAUAUCUCCUAUUUUGCGCUAAAUCCGGAGAAACCCUUCUCAUUUCUCUCUCAUUCUAUCCAAAACAAAUCCACUUGCGGAUAAGUGCCACGCCCGAAAAGCAAAAAAAAAGAAAAAUCUAUCCCAACAAAGCGAAUUAAGCACGUAAGAGGGUGUUACGAAUAUCCCAGCACACCAUGAUGAUCCCAACAUAAGUAGAGGAAGCCCUAGCUAGCUUGCUACUUCCUUAGCACCUAUUUGAUCCAUGGAUUGUUGGAGGGAGUCGGAGGGCAAGCGCGUGCAUGAUCCCCUAUUCUACCAUUUUCCGACGACGGAUAAUAACAACACCGACGACGACAAGGACGACGAUGAUAAAGAAAGCGAAAGCGAUAGCGAUUGCGACUGUGUGGCUGUGGAGGGGCCGAUAAUAGUCGGGGCGGGGCCGUCGGGGCUGGCGGCGGCGGCGUGCCUGAAGGAGAAGGGGAUUCCGAGCCUGAUACUGGAGCGGUCCGACUGCAUCGCGUCGCUGUGGCAGCGGAAGACGUACGACCGGCUGCGGCUGCACCUGCCGAAGCAGUUCUGCCAGCUGCCGCUCAUGCCGUUCCCGUGCGGGCUGCCGGCCUACCCAACCAAGCAGCAGUUCGUCGCCUACCUCGAAUCCUACGCCGCCCGCUUCGCCAUCCGCCCGGCCUUCGGCGUGGCGGUGGCCGACGCCUCCUUCGACGGCCAGUUCUGGCGCGUCAGGGCGCACUGCUGCAGGCCGGCGGCGGGAAAGAAGACUCGGGAGUACGUCGGGAGGUGGCUGGUCGUGGCGACGGGGGAGAACGCGGAGCCGGUGGUGCCGGAGAUCGCGGGGAUCGGGGAAUUCUCCGGGGAGGUGCUCCACACGAGCGCAUACCGCAGCGGCGAGGCCUACCGCCGGAAGCGCGUGCUCGUCGUCGGCUGCGGAAACUCGGGGAUGGAGGUCUGCUUGGAUCUCUGCAAUCACAAUGCCCAGCCCUCCGUCGUUGUCAGAGACACGGUCAGUAGUUGCAUGCGUUCACUCACCUCCACUACUCUUCCCAUUUAUUAAUUUUUUUUCACAUGAUAAUUUUGUUCUUAUAGUUAAUCAUUGACUAGUUAGUGCGCAAACUCUUUCUUUGGGCUUGUGAAAUUCCAUGUAGAUAGCUAGAGACAUAUCAUGGAUAAGUUCCUUUGGCUCCAACGAAGGUGUAUUAACGAAAGUGAUAUGAAGGCUCAAUUUGAGUCGUUCAUUUAUUGUACCUUUUUAUAUCUACUGUUAUAUAAUUAUGUUUAAAUAGGAGAGUAAUGAAUUGAAGUAAGCAAUUAGAUUUGCUCUCCUACCCCUCCCUCUCUCUCUCUCUAUUGAUAUUAUAGUAUUUUCUUUUUUAAUUUUCUUUUCAACGGGGAAGUGGAUACGGAAGUUAGUUUUGAUCAAUAAAUAAAACAAUCCGAAAUAAAUUAAUCAUUAACCCUUCCAUACAGUGCAGUGAUUGACUUUUUCUUUUUUAAGAAAGGAUGGUAGCAUGCUAUUAUAUAUUUUUUUUAAAAAAAUAAAUUUAUCUGAAAAUAUAAAGUAAUUAGAUUUCAAAUACGAAAAUGUUUAUUUUUUUAGAAAUAAAAUUAUUGUAUUAUUGUUUAAAUAAGUACAACAAACUCACCUAUUCUUAUUCUAAAAAUAAUAACUCCAUUUUCGUAAAAAUAAAAUAAAAUAAACAUGGCCUAUAGUAUAGCAUGCGAAGAAAGAUGGAUUCGCCAUGGCAGGCCCUUUUCUUAGUAAAUCUCCACCCUUUAUUGGGAUUUGGGAUUCAUCCUCACGCGUCGGAGCCGCGCCUUAAUUCCUUCAUUGUCUCGUGCAACUUUUUUUUAAAUUCUUUUUUUUUUCUCGCUUUAAAAGCUGUACAAAAUAUCAUAAAAGAUAUUGCACCAUUACCAUUCUAUGGGCCCCAAUUUCGCCAAGAACAAAAGCAAUUGAUCUCAUACGAAGUACCAACAAUCUUUUAUUUUUGUAAGCAAUUUGGCUUAUUAAAUCCACACCCUCCCCUUGUUUAAUUACUACAAUAUAUAAAGAUUAAUUAGUUUAGAUAAGAUUAUAUGGAGACUGCACCAAACAUUUUAAUUCUUUCUUUUUUAAGUCUAUGAUCAUCUUUGCAGGACUCCUUUUUUAUCUCUCUUUUAAAUAUCAUUUUUUUCAUUCCCUUUUAAUUAUUUUAUAUAAUUUUUUUUUUGCAGGUGCAUGUCCUACCCAGGGAGAUGCUGGGUAGCUCCACUUUCGGGCUGUCAAUGUGGCUCCUCAAGUGGCUGCCCAUGCGGGCAGUGGAUCGGGUGCUCCUCCUCGUGGCUCGUCUAAUGCUCGGCGACACGGCCCGGCUCGGGCUCCCGCGGCCCCGGCUCGGCCCGCUGGAGCUCAAGUCGCUCUCCGGCAAGACCCCCGUCCUCGACGUUGGCACCCUCGCAAAGAUCAGAUCCGGAGACAUCAAGGUCUUCAAUUGAUAUGAGCAAAAGUUUUAAAUUAGAGCUUCUUAUUAUAAGCAGGAAUGUUCGGAAGAUUGUUAGAAAGAUUCUUAUUGCACUACAGGUGUUUCCUGCAAUCAGGCGAUUCACUGAACAUGGAGCGGAGUUUGUAGACGGGAGAUCAGAGGACUUCGAUGCAGUUGUUCUAGCAACUGGCUAUAGGAGCAAUGUGCCUUCUUGGCUAAUGGUAUUUUUUUUUUUCUUUUUGAGAUAAAAGAAGCUUCGUUUAUUUUCAAGAAAUGANAACUGGCUAUAGGAGCAAUGUGCCUUCUUGGCUAAUGGUAUUUUUUUUUUUCUUUUUGAGAUAAAAGAAGCUUCGUUUAUUUUCAAGAAAUGAAAUGAACUCAGAUAGAAUAGAAAUGUAAGUCAACUAAGUUUCAAACUUGGGACUUUUAAGUAUCAUCUAUCAAGUUCUUACCUUCUUUUUGAUUACUAGUAAACAGAAAUAGAGAAAAAGUAGUAAUGAAUAAAAGUGUUUAGGAUUACAUGUCAUCUUGAUUUGGAGACGUCCAAUAUUAUUCUAUAGCAGCUUUAUACUUUUAAAGGAAAAAAAAUUUGCUAUAUCUGGUUCAAAAUGUUGUUUCUGUAAAUUGUUGAUGUGCUGACACAUUGUUAACAGGAGAGGGAGAUGUUUUCGGAAAAAGAUGGGCUACCGAAGAAGCCCUUCCCGAAUGGGUGGAAGGGGCAGCACGGUCUCUACGCCGUGGGUUUCACGAAGCGCGGCUUGUUGGGCACGUCCAUGGACGCAGCGCGGAUCGCCGACGACAUCGAGCAGUGUUGGAAAGUUCAAAAGGCAAGCCAGCUUGUUAUGUCAUUCUCUUUGCCUGUGAUUAAUGUGAGUGCGUCAAACAUUACUACCACCACUACUACAUCAUCUUGUGAUCACGAUCAUAUUAGAUGAAGUGUAGAUUAUGUAUGGGGGUUGCGACAGGGUUUGAGAUUUUCUAAUUAUAAAGGGGGGUUAUUGUUUUAGUAUUGACUGGUUGUAUAUAUUAAUUGUAUACGGUUCAAUUGUUUUUUCAAAUUUGGAAUCACUGACUUGUAGAGAGAGAGAGAGAGAGAGAGAGAUUGGGUGCUUUUCUCAAGUAAUUUCACGUUCGUUUGCCACUAUAUAUUGUACUGAUGAUGUAAAAUCAGUAGGUGUUAGGUGUUUGGGAAAAAAUAAAAUAAAAUAAAAAUUCUAUCAGGAAUAAAAUAAUAUUCCAAUCUUAGUCUUUUAAAGAUAUAUUUUUCUAGCAUUGAAUUAAUUCUAUAGAAAAUUUUCUCACUGGGGAGGUGAAAUGAGUUCCAUAUCUUGAAAAUUGAUUGUACUUUUAUAAUUUUAGGUGAAAAUCUUAUCAGAUCAUCUAUCCAAAGCCUCUUUUUCUUUUCACUAAUCUUAUCACACUCCGACAAAACUUGGAUAUAAAAUUUACACUCAACUAUAUAUCAUGCAUUUUGUAUGUUGUGAGUGUGGGUAUGCCGUGGUCUCUCUCUAUCUCUCUCUCAUCCCACAAAAAGAAUGAGACAUGUUAUGUUUAGUCAAAACACGGCAAUAUAUAACACCCAGAACCAUGACAAGGUUUCCGCACACUGAAUAGGUUUAGUGGUUCACGUUCUCCUCAAAUCCAUUUAUCACGCCCAAUUUCUCUACCCUUGAUAGAGGACCACCACUACCAUCUUCAUGCAUGUGUGAGGAUGAUGCAAGGAUCUAUCGAUCACCGUUCAAUGGAUUCGAGAUAAGAAUAAACUUUCCUACACUGUAAAAUAGUCUACAUCAACAACAUGGCACUAGUCCUGCAUGUGUACAUCCAUAUGUAUACACUUCAUUUUUCUUUUUCUUUUUCUUUUUUUUUUUUCCUAUGAGCAUAUUCCUGUAGCUUAUAAGAUCAUGCGCGCUUUAAGUUGCCAAAGCUUCUUAGCUUUUUCAGUGUUGGGUCCAAAGUGGCAGACCACUUAAUUUGGAUCGGAUUCUUAUGUAUAUAUAUAGAAGAAUAUAUAUUCUUCUAUAUAUAUAUAGAAGAAUCCGAUCCAAAAUCUAGAAAUUGUAUAAAAAAUUGUACAUGAUUCAAUCAACCAUGCAGUUCAAAUUUUCAUGAAAUUAUUUUCUGUAAUUGUUGUUGCCAUGGAACUUUACAUGUACUGAUUAUUUUUAAGGAAAAUGGAAUAUUAUUUGGUGCAUUUUUUUCCUUUUUUCAGAAAAAAACAAACUUUGGACCCCAUCUGAAACAUGGUUAAGUUGAAAAUUUUCAUCCGAAGAAUAAAAAAGCUGGAAUUUACUACAUGAACAAGUAUUUCAACCAAUUGUGUCACAUUUUCCAUAGGUUGUGGCAGUGUAAAAACUGUUAGACCUCACUGCAACUUCCUAUUGUAGAUCACUGCCUUAAGUUUCAAAGCUAUGUUACUAGCUCCCACCCUACCUUCAAUUAGAUUAUAUAAGAUGAUUAUUCAAAUUUUCCACUUCACUACUACUAAAUUUUUUUUAAAAAAAAUGUCUUCUUUGCUACUGCAUGGCAAUCAUCUAUGAAGGGUAAUUGAAGACGAAGUCCCAAGUUCGUAGUCUAGUUGUUUAAGAUUUUUCUCUAAAAAAAAUUUAAUAAAAAAUUUAAUUACGAUGGUUUCCACAAAAAAUUGAUUGAUUUCAUAAUUUCUUUUUUCUUUUGAGGGAAAGGUAGCAUACUACCCGUUUUGUUCCUUUUGUUUAGAAAUAAAUUUAGUUGAAAAUGUAAAAUAAUUAGGAUUCGAACUUGAAUCUCGGAUACUAACCAUCAAGCACUUUGCCUCAUAAUAAUUUUAACUUUCUAAAAUUUAGGUGGAUAGAUUAUAGAAUUUUAGAUGAAUAGAAGCUUUUUUUUUUUCUCUCUUUUUUCUCUUUUAUUGACUUUAAAAAGUUUAAGUGAUAGGCCUAGCUACAAGCAUGCUAAAGUUCAAAGGGAUAGAUUUGACAUAUUUUUCUAAUUGCUAUUAUAUACAUGAGGAUAAACCUCUUUAGUAGUACAUACUUUCUCUUAAAGCUCUAUAUAUAGUUUCUUUUUUCCUUAGUGGUGAGUUUAAAGUCCUAGGAGGCAAGGGGACAGGAGUGGUGACCUCAACCACACGCACACACUGAGGUCAAACAAACACUAGCUUAGCUAAUUAGCUAUACAGGGCAGAAAAAGCCAGAUUCAGAAAAUGAUUGUUGCUACAUUUGCUUGUGCAUCACUUUCCUUGGGACUUGUUCAUUGAUAGUUUGUGUGAUGUGUUGCCAUUUUAAUUCUUACAUGUAUAUACCUAAACAUCAAAUGAUGGGGCCGCAUGUAUCUGGAAUAUUUGAUAGCUGCUUCAAGACAACUACAUAUAUCUAGCUAGCUGUGGCCUUCUAGCUAGCUACUUGGACUCAACACAUACAUACACAUGCACACACAAAGGAAAAAAAAAAUUUAUAUAUUGAAUAUAAAUUAUAAAAAAGUAUUAUUUUAUUAUUGUAUGUUUUGGAGUAAUUAUUUAUUUAUUUCAUUUGGUACCAGAGUCCAUCGUAAUCUUCAUUUUGCUUCAUUUUUUGCAUCUAGAGUAUUAGAUCUAUAUGUCUUGAAUUCAAGACAUGUAAGAUUUUCUAAUUCUAUAUUGUAUUAAUUUUAUAUUAUUCUUAAUCUUAAUGGAUUUAGUUUCUAAUAUAAACAUAUCUUUUAUUUCAUUAAUUUGCUGCAAAGGAUGUGCGAUAGUACGUGGUGUUUUUUGGAGUCUAAAGUUUUUAUAAGAAAGCCAUUUUUUAUACUCCAUUUUGAUUACAAUAAAAAUUUUCACCCCGUUUUUUAUAUACCUGUGGAUGUAAGCAAAUGGUUGAACCAUAUAAAUGUUAAUGUACUUUAUUUUUCUUCUCUUUUUCGUUUUUCUUUUCUUAGCAUUUCUGCGUUGAACGUACUCCAUUCUUUUUGCUUUUAUCAUAAUAAAUUGGUAUCAGAAUAACUCGAGAAUUCAUAACAUGCAGCUUAAGAGCAUAAUUUUUUUACUUUUAAUCUCUUCCUAUAUUGCUCUCGGUAAUGCGCAGGUACAUGGUUUACUUAAUUUCUACUACGCAUGCGAACAAAAGUAUCACUUUAUCUCUACCAUGCAUAUGAAUUAAUGAAAGUUUCGAGACUAAUUAAAUAUUCCUUGCCUGCCAGAUCGAUAUUUCAGAAAAAGAAAAUUAACUAACAUAUAUAUAUAUAUAUAUAUAUAUAUAUAUAUAUAUAUAUAUAUAUAUAUCUUUUUCUGAAAUAUCGAUCUGGCAGGCAAGGAAUAUUUAAUUAGUCUCGAAACUUUCAUUAAUUCAUAUGCAUGGUAGAGAUAAAGUGAUACUUUUGUUCGCAUGCGUAGUAGAAAUUAAGUAAACCAUGUACCUGCGCAUUACCGAGAGCAAUAUAGGAAGAGAUUAAAAGUAAAAAAAUUAUGCUCUUAAGCUGCAUGUUAUGAAUUCUCGAGUUAUUCUGAUACCAAUUUAUUAUGAUAAAAGCAAAAAGAAUGGAGUACGUUCAACGCAGAAAUGCUAAGAAAAGAAAAACGAAAAAGAGAAGAAAAAUAAAGUACAUUAACAUUUAUAUGGUUCAACCAUUUGCUUACAUCCACAGGUAUAUAAAAAACGGGGUGAAAAUUUUUAUUGUAAUCAAAAUGGAGUAUAAAAAAUGGCUUUCUUAUAAAAACUUUAGACUCCAAAAAACACCACGUACUAUCGCACAUCCUUUGCAGCAAAUUAAUGAAAUAAAAGAUAUGUUUAUAUUAGAAACUAAAUCCAUUAAGAUUAAGAAUAAUAUAAAAUUAAUACAAUAUAGAAUUAGAAAAUCUUACAUGUCUUGAAUUCAAGACAUAUAGAUCUAAUACUCUAGAUGCAAAAAAUGAAGCAAAAUGAAGAUUACGAUGGACUCUGGUACCAAAUGAAAUAAAUAAAUAAUUACUCCAAAACAUACAAUAAUAAAAUAAUACUUUUUUAUAAUUUAUAUUCAAUAUAUAAAUUUUUUUUUUCCUUUGUGUGUGCAUGUGUAUGUAUGUGUUGAGUCCAAGUAGCUAGCUAGAAGGCCACAGCUAGCUAGAUAUAUGUAGUUGUCUUGAAGCAGCUAUCAAAUAUUCCAGAUACAUGCGGCCCCAUCAUUUGAUGUUUAGGUAUAUACAUGUAAGAAUUAAAAUGGCAACACAUCACACAAACUAUCAAUGAACAAGUCCCAAGGAAAGUGAUGCACAAGCAAAUGUAGCAACAAUCAUUUUCUGAAUCUGGCUUUUUCUGCCCUGUAUAGCUAAUUAGCUAAGCUAGUGUUUGUUUGACCUCAGUGUGUGCGUGUGGUUGAGGUCACCACUCCUGUCCCCUUGCCUCCUAGGACUUUAAACUCACCACUAAGGAAAAAAGAAACUAUAUAUAGAGCUUUAAGAGAAAGUAUGUACUACUAAAGANGUACAGUCAUCACAAACCCUGGCGGUGAUUGCUGAACGGGUACGGAAGAAAAGGAGUUAAUAAGUAGGAGACUAAGAGUGUACUUCAACUAAACCAUCACCUGCGUCGUCGUCCAGUUCUAUGCAGAAGAAGGAGCGGAGAAGGGGGUCGGUAUUUGAAUAAUGCCUAAUUUUCGCUUUUAGGUACUCUGGAAAUUUGGUAGUGUGUGGUGAGUGGGUGAGAGAUCUUACUUAUACAUACAUAUAUAGGCUACUAUACUCUUAUGAGUAUAAAUCUUUUUAGAUUCAUAAAUUUUGAACUGUUGGAUGAAGGAAUGUGCAGUUAGGAUAAUAGUGGUCUACUAAAGUUGAGUGAGCUGUUGAUUUAAUAAUAUGAUCUAACGGAUGAAAAUGAUCAAAAAGAUAGAUCUAACGGCUGAAAAUUUAUGAGUAUAAAAGAAUUUAUACCGAUAAAAGUAUAGUAACCAUCCGAACUCUAUAUAUAUAUAUAUAUAUAUAUAUAUAUAUAUAUAUACCACGGACAAAAUAAGUAUAAUUAAUAUCACUUUCUCUUUAUAGAGUCGCACUUAUUUUACAAAAAAAGUUACAUAACUUUUAACAAAUUAAGCUCAGUUAUAGGGAGCACUUCAAAAACCAUGCAAGAUUUAUAGUAUUUGUUGGAUGUGCCACAAUUUUAGACCCCAAGUUCCUCAGACAGAUUCGCUACGAUAAAUUUGAAAAAGAAUUUGUGAAGAAAAAAUAUAUAUUCUUGGUGGGUGGCUACGGAUUGAAUCUGAAACGCAUUAAAAAAUUUCUUUCUUCGUUUUGCCCUUGACGCGAUACAGCAGAUUGUACAUACAAAGUUUGUACUCUUUUUUUUUAUAGUGAAGUUCUCUCUUUUUUUCCCCGUGAUUUUUUUUUUGCUAUAAAGAGUUUUCUACAUAAAUCUUUGUGUUCUAUUUUAUUUACUGUUUUGUGGUUUGUCUACCUUGUGUUCGCCUUUUUUUUAUUUAUGUUUAUGUGCUCGUUGUAACAGUGCUGAUCGAACAUGGUUUACAGCAUACAAAAAGACCUAGCUACAUGCGUAAAAUCAUAAUUCGCGAAAGUAGAGUACCUAAUAUUAGUGAAGAUUAUGAAAUUCAUGUAUAUCGAGCUUUGAAAACUAAAUUUGUAAAUCCAUGUUAAACUUUUAAAGUCUAAUUAAAAUUGUACUUAACAGUUAAAUUUUGAAUCAAUGUCCACUUCGGAACUUAGGGUUUAGACAUGCAGUAUAUAUAGAGGCCCAACCCAAGAAGUGAUCGAUUAUAUACUCUUGGGAGUGGUCGCAUGCAUGCAAAGUGAUAAGUUCAAAUGCAUGAUUGCUCUCUAUAAACCAACAAAAAAAACUCUCCAACCAUUUUCCAAUAAUAAUUCCCAUCUUUGUAUGAGUGGAGUGAUUAGACUCAUCUUCAUGUUUUGUUUGCUAGUUGUCUGAUUGAGUGGGUAGGAGCUUGGAAUUUUCACACACCACCUUUGUCCCUUUCCUUCCUUACCAUUGCACAUCAUAUUCAACCCAUUUAUGAUGCAUGCUUAGUUUCCAUCUCUAACUACAAGGACUAUUUAUUCUCUCCAAGAAAAAAAAAACAAAAAAAGGAUUAUUUAUGCUACAAAAUCCAGCUUUAAAGUAUACACAGGUUGUGAAAUAAAAUCUAUGGGCCCCGCUUAUUAUGUGGCCAUCAAAAUUAAUUUGACGGAGCACUCAGUUAUGUGUAACCCCUUAAUUUGCUUGGCCUAAUUGUGAUAAGAAGCACUAAUUAAUGCACCUCUCUCUCUCUCUCUCUCUCUCUCUCUCUCUCUCUCUCUCUCUCUCUCUCUCUCUCUACUUUUCAAUAUAGUCAAUAUGAUCUAAAGAGUCUCCAUAGUAAAGUUUUAAGGUUUCAAACCUAUAUAUCUAAUAGCUUUGAAAAGCAGAGGUAUGAAAAAGAAUAUUGCUCAAUACAAUAUUUGAUAUUCGAUGAAUUAAAUUCUCAUUCUAUAUAUGUUGUAUCAUAGCAUUGGAGAUGCAGUGUUACUUCUCUUUAUUUCGAGAGGUGUUCUAUUUUUACAAGUUCAUCUAUUUUUACAAGUUCAGCUACAGCGAUUCUUAGGCUUUCCACUUUUUUUUUUUUAGUGAUGGGAUACUUUAAUUGGCAGGGAACACUGUUAGACAUGAUUUACACUAUUUCGAAUAUUAAUUAGGAAAUAAAUUCAAUAAUUUUUUGCUAUUACUAAUUACCUAGUAACAAAAGUCUCAAAAUCAACAACUUGUGAUCAAUAUGAGCCCUUUAUAAGUUUAAUGGUACAGAACAAUUAAAUCGACACCUUUGAUCUCCAACUUAAUAGUUGGAUUAUUUAUUUUUGUAGAACUUCUUACCAUUAGCCAUAUUUUGCCAUCACUCGAUUCUGAGAUACUUAAUUAAUGACCAAUUUACCUUUUUUUUAAGAGCUAAAGGUAGAAUGCUAUAUAUAUAUAUCUGCUUCAAUUUUUUUUCAGAAAUGAAUUUCGUUGAAAAUAUAAAGCAAUUAAGUUUUGAACUUGAAAUUUCAAGUAUCAACCUCAAGCCCUUUGCCACUUGUGCUAAGAAUCGUCGUUGAUGAUGAUUUUAAAAAAAAAAAAAUUAAAUCAUAGAGACUUCAAGUACUCUAAAUCAUUACUUUUGUUGCCUCAUUAUCAAAAAUAAAAGUAAAACCACAAAAUCUUUAUGCUGUCUAGCAUAUACUCCAGCUCAACUACCAUUGUCACUCCAAUACCUGCAAACUUGCAUUAUGGGGUUUGAGACAUAAAAACACACACACACACACACACACACACACACACACAAAAGGGAUCUAGAGAGAGAGAGAGAGAGAGAUCCUUUAAAGGAGGAGAUUCACUGUUGGAUACCAUCAUUGUACCUCCCUCUUAACAGGAGAAUCUCAGAGGAAUCUAAGAUCUUCGAAAUGAUUUUGUCUCGAGCUCAUUAGUAAUAGAUGAAUCUCUAUGUGGCCCUUUUUCGAUCUCCUCCCCCUAUUAUAGACAAAGUCACUUUCUAUGUACAAAUUAUUAUAAACCUGAAACAUAUCUGCAAGGAUAUGUUUUUACCAACUAAAGCAAAAAUCAUGUUUGGUGUUUUGAGGGGCGGGGACCUCAGAGCAUGCACCGAUUAAGCUACAGAUGCGUGACAUGUGUCACAUCCAACGGCCAAUAAGAGGAGUUCUUUCCACGUAGGAUUACACUUUUCCCAGCCCCAGUACGUGGUGUAUCAAUGCGGUCGCAUUCGAGGGGUAGGGUUUGGGUCCUCUGUGGUCGGACCAUAUUCACUCAAAUGUUCAUGGAUAGGUCACAACAUUUAUGCCAUUGCAUUAUUAUUAUUAUCAUUAUUAUUAUUAUUAUUAUUUUGAAGAGGUAGUAGGAGAGGGCCCGUAAAUUAUUAUGAAUUCGCGAGUGGGGGGUUUAUAGAAAAUAAAUAAAUGGAAAUUAGUGGGAGGCAUUAAAGAAUAGAAAAUUUAUUUUCCUCUGAAAAUUUAAACCGUGCUGGUAUCAUGUUUAAAAAAUAACGAUAAAUUAACUAAAUUUUUAAAAAAUUUAAGCUAAUAGAGUAUAGUGUUUUUUUUAAUAUUUAUAUUUAAGAGGAGUUAAUAAGAGUAAAGAAGGGUAAUGAGAACAUUAAAAACACUGACACAGUCACUUUCUUUUUUUCUUUUUCUUUUUCUUUUUUUUUUGAAGAAUGUUGAAGGAUCAUUAUGCAUUCAGAAUAUCAAAAAAAAGAUGAUGUCUACAUCCAAGAAGAUUGCUAAUCUUUUUAUAUGCAUGGUCUAAAUAUUAAUCCCACAUAGAAGAAAAUGUUUUUUUUUAGAGAUAGGUAGCACGCUACCCGUUUCGUUAUUUCAUUAAGAAAUAAACUUAGUUGGAAAUGUGAAUCAAUUAGGAUUCGAACUUGGGACCUCAGGUGCAACCACCAAGCCCUUCGCCACUUGCUCUAGGGACGGUCGGACAUAGAAGAAAAUGUUAAUUGAAACUUAGUAACUUGUACUAUAUAGAUGACUUCUCCUACCACAAAGGGAAGUGGUAUUAAUAUAACUACUUCUAUGAAGGACCGAUCAAUAUUAUUAAAUUUGGUCAAAUUCAGUCAUUGAACUAAUGAUUAGACUUGAUGAAUCUAAGGUAUUAUCAAAAUCUCCUCUAUCAAUUAUAUCACCCUUGACCUACUAUCGAUAGUUUCUAGCAAAGUAGCAAAGGUCUGAGUGAUUGAUACCUGAGGUCCGCAGUUCAAAGCCUAUGCUAUUUGUUUGGCUAUCAUGCUGCUCUUAUAGAUCAACAUUGAUGUAUUUUGCAUAUAUAAUAUCCAGAACAUAUUGAGAGUUUUGUUUACGUGAUUCAAGCAUGCAAUCUAAAGCUAGCGCCAUAUAAAUUUGUCAACGUUUCAACAUUCCACACAUAAGAAGGACCUUUACGGUACCCGAAGCAUUUUUUAUCUGGAUCUAACUCUCUCGACAUUCUAAUAAUUCUUUAAUAAUUACCUAAUCAUGUGCAUUAUGUACUAGCUAAAUGUCAAAUCAACAUUUGUCACACUGCCACUUCAUAUAUAUAUAUAUAUAUACGGAACUAUAUAUAUAAUUAAUCUACGUUGCCCAAUCAGGUACACUUAGUUCAUACCAGUGUAAUUAACCUACUACUAUAAAUAAUUGCAAAGCUUUUGUGUUAACUUCCAUACAUAUGCUUACAGUGUAACAUGUUCUAAUUCUUGAGUGAUCUACUAUACAUGUACAUCAGUAUGGGUGAGGUAGCACGCUACCCGCUUCGUUUAUUUCACUUAGAAAUAAACUUAGUUGGAAAUGUGAAUCAACUAGGUUCGAACUUGGGAUCUCGGGUACUAACCACCCAGCCCUUUGCCACUUGCUCUAGGAACGAUCAGUAGAAUGCUCACGCGCGCACACACGUGCACACACAAAGAGGGGAGAGAGAGAGAGACUUUAGCAGCACUCUGUGCUCUAUUGUAUAAACUUUUGGUGAAAAUAUAUAAAACUUAUCUGAAUUAUGUACCAUUUUGAGUCCAUUAUUUAACUUUUCAAAUUUUGAUUUUACUUCAAAUUUCUUAAUUUGUUUGAUUUGAGUGACUCAACGGCAUUUUAACUUUUAAACUUGAAUGCAUCAUUUAUCUUUAUAGAUUCAACUAAAAAUUUAUCAAAGUAACUAAUUGGCUUAAAUUUUGAAGUUAAUAUUAUUAAUUGACUCAAAUCAAAUAAGUUGAAAGAUUGGAUAGCAAAAUCAAAAUUUGAAACACUGGAUAGUCGACUCAAAGUGAUUCCAUAAUUAAUUCUGGUAAGUUCUGUGCGCCUUUACCUAAGCCUUUCCUCUGUGUUCACCCUCUAAAUGCGACUCUAUUCUGUAUCCCAUCAUCAUCAUCAUCAUCUUCUUUGCAGAAAUAAGGCAAUAUAAAUGUAUGGAAUCUUCCGAGAAUCACGGAACUCCAGCCAAUAAUGGAGACCCACGAUCGAUCGCACAUGCAAAAGGUGGCCUCUCUCUCUCUCUUUCUCUUUCUCUAUCUCUCUCCCUCUAACUUUUGAGGUUGGAUCGAUCAAAUGAGGAGUUGAAUGCAGUAAUUUUACAGGAGGGUGCAUUCAUGCAUGCCACUACCUCUACAUCAUUGGUGCGCUGAGAAUUUUGGUAGUGGUGAAUAUUAACGGUGAUCAUUGAGGAUGCAUAUUGCACCAUUGUCUCAGCACGUACGUAUACGCAGGUCAACAUGCAUGGAUAGUGGGGUGAUUAGGAAUCUGAAUAUCAAUACACAACUGAGACAGGUCACAGGUGAUCAGAGACAAUAAAAGGUGAUGAUGGAUUGUUUGAACCAAGAAAACUUGCAGAAAAAAGUAAAGGACUAAAUUACACACUCUCUUCUCCAUCUCUUUUAUAAUGACUUGCAGGUAAGGUGAUCGUAUAACUAAGAUGUCACGACAUUGUCACGCAAUCGCCACAUUGUUGUGUUGAGGAGCCAUUUGGUUCAAAGUUCGUAAUAUUCUAAAAUUAUUGCAUAUUUUGUUAUUGAAAUGACAAAUUUAUUACUAAUUUAUCGAGCUACUCAGGUUGACAAAUCAUUAAGAACUAGUAUAUUCUUAUUAAUGAACUUCCUAUAAAAAUUUAGACUUUUUGCGAUAACAACGAUUUGUUGCAUGCUAUAAACAGAAAUUAGUUGCUAAUGCUAAUUAGCGGCAAAAAAAACUUUUGUCACUGCUUCGUUACUACAACCCCGUCGCAAAAAUGUUAUAGCAACAAAGUAAAGAAGUUGGUCGUUAUUAGCCGCUACAUUUUGCGACAACAAAAGAUUUGUUGCUAAAUUUAGUUGCUAAUUAUUUGCUUUCAAAGACAAAAAUUAUGCUUCCUCACUAAAUAUUUUGUCUCCAUACAAUAAAUUUAUUGUAGUGACAGUUAAUGAUUCUCGUCAAGUACAUUUAGCGACAACAAAAGAUUUGUUGCUAAAUUUAGUUGCUAAUUAUUUGCUUUCAAAGACAAAAAUUAUGCUCCCUCACUAAAUAUUUUGUCUCCAUACAAUAAAUUUAUUGUAGUGACGGUUAAUGAUUCUCGUCAAGUAUGAAAAUAAGAAAAACUUCUAACUUAACAUAAUCUAAUAUUUAUACUACUUAGGAAUUUACAAGUUUUCAACUGAAAUAUAGAGAAUUAUCAAAAUAUUACAAACCACAUGCACGAACUAAAUAGAUCCUUAUUGUGUUUACUGAUGCAGCUGCAAUGACGAGAAUGUCAUAUUACUCACACAUCAGCAACACACCACCGUUCGGUUAAUUUAAUUGGAUUGUGUUACAUCAUGAUAAUUGAAACAGUCUAGAAUUAAUAUUUGAGAUAAAAAUUAUAGCAAAUUAAGACAAGGUCAACCAAGAGGGCAAUUUAGACAAAGGAAAAAAUAAAAGAAAAAAAAGGCAAUUCAGAUUUCAGACUAACAAAAUAAUUAAAGAUUGAAGGUUCAAUCGGAAUAUUUCAUCACUAAUUAACAUUUUUUUUCUUCAUAUGUAGUUUUCCAUAAAAAAUUCAACUACUCAAAGAGUAAUUAACAAAGUAAUAUGCGGUGUUUGGUUCCUCGAAAAAGCGUACGUAAAGAAAAGAAAAAAGUUUUCAUGAAAAUCUCUUUUUCAAUUUUUCAUACAUUUGGUUUCAAGAAGAACUAACUUUUCUGAAAAUUUAUUUUCCAAAUUUCAUGGCAAAUUAAUAUUUUUAUUUUCCGAACUUUUUUAGAAAAACGAAAAAUACUAGUUUUCAUAAGAUAUGAAAAGAAACUUUUCAAAAAGCUAAUUUUUUUAGAACCAAACAAACAGAAAACUGAAAAAGAGAAUUUUCGCGGAAACUUUUUUCUACCUUUUUGAGCAACCAAACAGUCCCUUAUAAUUUCCUAUGGUACGAUUUAUAAAAUAUUUAGUUUUUUCCAAAUUUUAAAAUAUUGGUAUGCAUAGAAUGAUUUGAUUAACUGGAUUUAGGCUCAUGGGCCCAUUGCAGGUGCUUCCCAAAGGGUUUAGGCCUUUGUAGCUGGACUUGGGGUCAUGGGCCAUUUGUAGCUGGACUUGGGUUCAUGGGCCAGUUUCCGAAUUUGCGGAGUCGAGGCGUUAGCAAAGAAAUCGAAAUUGGGUGAGCAUAUAUAGUUCCGUUUGGUUCGGGUUAUAUAAGUAUAAAUUUUUAUUAUAUGAUUCUAAUUAGUUCAACCUAACUAUAAAACUCAACUCAAUUACAAAAAAAUUCAUUUAUAUAUAAAGCUUCAACCAUAAGAUUAAAGUCUAAUAAAUAAGUUAGAUCUCAUAAACUUAUUUUUUAUAUAUAUAUUAUUUUUAAUUUUUUUAAUUUGUUAUUCGUGAGCCAGCUAGCUCGUGUUUGAUUUAUUUAUGAAAUAAUUUUUUGACUCGGGUACUUUAAUGAGUUAGCUCGUGUUUGACUUGUUUAUGAAAUGAAUCGAACAAGGUGGUGUGGGGAGAGUUUUAUUUUUUUUUUUUUUUCCCUAAUUGGUUGAGAACUUUCAGGCGAAUUCUGGAAUCUCCAUCAAAGGAGAUCUGCUUCCAAAAGAAGAAUAAUUGAGCUGUCUGGCCGCGCAGCAGAUCGGGACAAAAGACGCACGCGUCAGUCGGAAUCUAAGGCUGUCAGGCCGGUGCCUUUCAUUUAUUCAAAAACAAACACGUGCCUGCUGGGCCCCACCCUCCCUACAAUAUAAUAUAUCAUCAAAUUCGAUGAUCGAUUUCUCCAUAGGCUACAAACCACAAGCUUUCCUCUUUUUUAUUUUUUCCCUUUUUUUUGCUAAAAUACAAAAAAAAAAAUUAUAAAUACAUAUUUUUUAUAUUUUUAAAAGAAUCUAUAUUUUAUUCUAUUAAAAUUUUGAAAAUAUUUGUAGAAGAUUAUAGUUGUAAUAAAGAAGAUGAAAUGAUGAAAUUACACUAACUUAUUCUAUAAAAAAAUAUAUUUUUUAAUAUAUUUAUCUUAUUUUUAAUAAUAUUUUUAAUAUAACGUAUAAAAAUGAACAGUGAUAGAAUUCUAAUUGAAAGUGGCUAAAUCAAGAAAAAAAAUUAAAAAAUGCGUAUUCUAUAUCUUAGCCUUUCCUUUUUUUUCUUCUUUGAAAAAAUAUAUCCUUCUGUUUUAUUGUCAAGCUUUUGCUUAAAGAAAUGCUAGAUAUGUAUCCCAGCAAUAAGGAUGUACAGUUUAUACCCUUAUUCUAAAAUUCAUACAUUAAAUGUUUAAAAUUUUAAAAUUUUAUUUUUUAAAAAUUGACCAGAUAAUUUAAUAGGCUAAAUUUGUCAAAUAUUUAGCCAACUAAAUUAGUACCACUCGAUAAAAUUUUACAAAUAUAUUUCUCAACUGCAUAAUUAAAUAAAUUAUUUAUAAUUGCAUGGCUUAAAUUUGCCAAUAUUGGGAAGCCAAGUGCCUAAAUUGUAGCAAUUUGCAUCUACUGUAGGGAACUCAGCUCCUACUUGUUUGGAUGUUUUCCAUAAUUGAAGACAAGGACUUGUGUGUGGACCCAGAAUAUAAAUAGCUUUAAGGAGCUAGGCUCCUCACUACAACAGAAUUAGAUUAUAGGGACAUAUGUUUGGGACACUUUUGAGUAAGUGUCCUAUUUAUGCUAAAAUUUAAAAACACAUCUACUAAUGCCUAAAUAUAAAAUCCAAUCCAAUCAAAAAUAAAAGAUUAUUCUACUCAACCCACCACACUCAGUCCAUUUGGCCCGAUUACAAACAGAAAAGAAAAAAAAAAAAAUCAAGUACCAUCUUUUCUUCUCUCUUCACUCAAUCCACUGAAAUUCUAGAUGAAGAGUCUUUACUGUCGUCCUCCUCCGCCACCGCAGCCAACGAGAUAGAGUUUCGGUCGUUGCUAAAUGUUUAAAUAAGUGUUGAUAAAUUAGCAGCAUUCUUUUAGAUUGUAGCGACACUCUUUAACUGUCACUAUAUACCUAGCGACCCCACAUAUAGCAACACUUUUUAAAAGUGUCGGUAAUUUUAGCUAGCAGCACUUUUUUGACAUGUACCUAUAUUUAAAAGUGUCGCUAUAGACCAUCUUUGUUGUAGUGCCUAUAAUUAAUAUCUAUAAUAUCAAAGUUUCCAUAUUAUAGUCUUACUUUUGAUUUAAAGUGUUAAAUUUAACUAUCCAUAUUUUUAAAAUUAAUCUAGAAUAUUUAAAAUUUUUAGAAAUAAAUUUUUAUAUUUUUUUAAUUUAAUUUAUUUUAUGAUCAAACUAUUUCAAAAUUAUUAAUUUUUAAUAGUUAUUAUGACGAGUUCAUAAUUUAACUGUGCAGAAGAAUCUAAAUUUAUUCAAAUUUUAAUAGAAAACACUUUAAACUAUCUAGAUCAAGGUUGGCAUCCUUGAUCUUAAAUUUAAAUUUUAUUCAUAAGAACUUCAUAUACUCUAGAUCAUAUUUAACGAUAUGAAUUAUUGAUUAGAACAUUUUAAGAUCGAAAACGAGAUUAUAGUACCGAAGCUUUGGUACUAUAGAUAGUAUAGUAGGCGCUCCCGUUCAUAGCUUUAGAUACUAACUCUUUACAUUCAUUGAUGAACUUUACUUAUAUAUGGUUAAAACUUUUCGUAAUAUUCCAACCACUGCAUGGAUCAUUUGGUGGGUUGGAUGAUAUCAGAAUAAAUCCACAUAAGAUUAUCUUUUGUAAAAUUCAUUCUUAUAUAAUUAAAUAUUUAGUUUUGGUAAAAUUUUUAAGGGAACUCGUACUUGACUGUAGUGCAAAAGAAAACAUGAGAAAUUAGCCGUUAGAAAUAGACUUAUAUAGAGAAAGAUUUUUUGACAAAUAGAGCUAUAUAGAGAAAGAUUUUUUUGACAGUUAUUCAAUGUAGGAAUAAUACCAUGACGAUCAAACGUUUUCAUAUUAUAUGUAAGUAGGGAAAUUUUUGAUCCAAUUUCAACAUAAUAUUAUUAUAUUAUCUUAGAUUAGAUAUUUAUCCAUCAAAUAUCAAUCAACAUUAUUGGUUUGAUGAUAGAUCUUACUAUCCAACCAACUAUCCACUCAACUUGGCCUAGAGAACUACUAUUAUACUCGGAGAUCACUAUCAUGCUAACCGCACACACUACAACAAAAGCGGUCUAUAGCGACACUUUUAAAUGUAGGUUCAUAUCAAAAAAGUGCUGCUAGCUAAAAUUACCGACACUUUUAAAAAGUGUUGCUAUAUGUGGGGUCGCUAGGUAUAUAGUGACAGUUAAAAAGUGUCACUAUAACCUAAAAGAGUGCUGCUAAUUUACCAACACUUAUUUAAGUAUUUAGCAACCGCUGAAACUCUAUUUUGUUGGCUGCGGUGGCGGAGGAGGACGACAGGAAAGGCUCUUCGUCUAGAAUUUCAGUGGAUUGAGUGAGGAGAGAAGAAAAGAUGGUAAUUGAUUUUUCUUUUUUUUUCUUUUCUGUUUGUAAUCGAGUCAAAUGGACUGGGUGUGGUGGGUUGAGUAGAGUAAUCUUUUAUUUUUGGUUGGAUUGGGCUUUAUAUUUAGACAUAAGUAGAUGUUUUUUUAAGUUUUAGCAUAAAUGGGACACUUACUCAAAAGUGUCCCAAACAAGUGUCCCUAUAACCUAAUUCUGUUGUAGUGACAUCUCUUCAUCUAACGGUCAAAAAUUUAUGAAUACAAAAAGGGUCUACACUCAUAAGGUAUCGUUUGGUUCGGAGAUAAGCAAAAAGUGACUAUUCCAGGAAUAGAUAUAAAUUGAGGUAUAAAUGGGGAUUAGAACAAUUUUGCGUUUAGAUGAAAAUUGAAUUAUUCUUGAUAAUAAAAAAAAUAACGUUUGAUUAGGUAAGAUGGAAUAAGAAUUAAAGUAGAUAGUUAUAAAUAAAAAAUAAUGGUAUUAUGCCUUUCUUGUAUCAGUAACUAUUUUAAAUUUUAUAUUUGUAUAUUUAUAAUUUUAGAAUUUAAAUAUAUACUUUUAAAUUCUAAAGUUUCAAAAUCUCAAAUUAUACAUUUUAAAAAAUUCAAACACGUGCCUAAGAUAUAAUAGCCCCUACUAUCAUAUAUAAUUUAUAAUAAUAUUAAUAUUUAAUUUAGGCCGUGGAAUUAUACUAAUUAUUAGUAAAACUCUCUUUUUGUUAAUCAAGUUUUAUUAACCCUGUCGGAAGAAAAUUUGAUAGGGUCAGGAUGCAUAUGUCGGUUAGGUUGGGAUCCCCCUAGAGGUUGGGUGGUCCCCACUUGGUUAUAGUAUUUUAACAAUGGUUAAAAAAUAAUGAAAAGAGUUUGAUCCAAAGGCUAAAAAACUGGGUACACACUAAAAUUUUGCCUACUAAUGUAGCCCCGAUCCAACUUAUAUAUAUAUAUAUUAUAUUAUAUAUAUAUAUAUAUAUAUAUAUAUAUAUAUAUAAUAUAUACUAUAUAUAACAAGGAAUUAGGCUACUAUACUAUCUAUAGUACGCGGAGCUCCCGUCACAUAUAGAAAAUGUUAGUUUUCGAUUUAGGGGUUCAAAUCAACGAGUCCACACCCGUUAAAUAUGAUCUAGGGUAUAUGAAAGUUCUUAGGAAUAAAUAUGUUAGUUUUUUUCAAUAUCGUUUACUUAGUAAAGUAAAUAUGUCAAAAAUGGGACAGGCUAGGAAUUGAAUACUCUUUAAAAUUUGAGCAUAGGACUUUUAAAUUCAAGAUCAAGAAUGUUAACCUUAAUCUAUAUAGUUUUAAAGGAAUUUAUCUCAUCAAAAUUGUUGAAGAAAAUUUGAUGUCUUCUACACCGUUGAAACUCCAAAACUCGUCAUAAUAGCCAUUGAAAUUUGCAAUGUUGAAAUAUUUUGAUUCAUAAAGUAAACAUGUCGAAAAUAUAAAAAUUUGUAUUUCUAAAAACUUAAAACCCUAGAUCAAUUUUAACGCGUGAUGGAUCAUUGAUUUGAAACGCACCGAAGAGCGAAAAGACAACAUAGUGGUACGGGAAGCUCCCGUACUAUAAGAUGAUUAGUAGCGGACUCUAUAUUACAAGUAUCACCCAUGAUACUCUGUGUGUUUUUAGGCCAUUGGAUCACUUUUUUACUAACUAGAGUCGCUUUGGAUCAAAACACGUAUUCACCUACCACCACGCUACACAUCGCAUCUCGAACUCACAUCUCUCCAUCCAAGCGGCUAAAAAACAGACAAGUAUCAUUUGGGUGAUACUUUUACAAGUGAUUCUAGCCCUACUCUAUUAUAUAUAUAUAUUAUAAUUAGGCGGAAUGACUAUUAAUUGUAAAACGCUCUUUUUUACUAUCAAGUUUUUACUUUGGCAUGAAAAUUAUAGGGUCAGGCUAUGAUAUUAGUCGGUUAGAGUUGAAUGAUCCCCCUAGGAAUUGAGUGGUCCCACUUGGGUUUGUAUUUAACCAAAUGAUUAGAAAUAGAUGAAUAAGAGUGAAUCCAAAGGUAAAAACUGGCUGAACGACCAGUAGAAUUGUUGCUUUACUAAUAGUAGCCCAGUCCGAUAUAUAUAUACUAUAGAGAGAGAGUGAUGGAGUAGGAAUACUCUCGAUAGUAAACUGUAGGCAGCGUUGUAUAUCGAGUUGUGUUUUCGAUGAUAAAGCUUCCAAAUUACGAUCGGCCCGUAGAUUAUGAUCUUAAACCAUUUAAACGACUAGGAAAUAACAAAUUCAAUGCACUUUCGGAUAUUGUUCUUUAUCCAUCUAUGGCUGAACAGCAAUGAAUGGUUGAAAAUGAAUAUUCUUUAAAAAAUGAUGAUAGGAGUCUUGUAAUCAAGAUCAAGGAGUAUGAUCUGUUGUUUAAAUAGUUAAGAAUUUGUCUAAUCAAAAAUUUCAAUUGUUUGGAUUCUUUACACCGUUAUAAACCGAGAAAACAUCUCAUUAUUCCAGUCAUUAAAAUUAUUAAAAGUUGAACCCUUUGUAUAAUUAGGGCAAAUAUGUCGAAGAAGAUUUGAAAUUGUAUUCUAAACACUUUAACGUUGGUAUUAGAUCAUGUUAAACGGGCCGAUGUCAAUUAUGGAAGCUCUAGUCAUCGAAAACAACUCGGAUAGUAAAAUGCCCCGCUUGACUAUCGCAGGUAUUCCAGUACUCUAUAUAUAUAUAUAUAUAUAUAUAUAUUAUAUAUAUAUUAUAUAGUGCCAGGGUGCUGUACUUUGCUCUGCUGCUAUUAAGAGCACAGCAGAUCCUUAUGUACCUAACUUUCUAACCACUCAGCAAAUUUGAUGGAGAUUAGAAUGAAGAGGCGAAUAGAUAUUCGAGAAAAUGUUAAGGAGCAGAGAAAUUGAGACAGCCCAAUUUUUGUCAAUAUCUCUUCGCUAUCUCUAUCUAACCAUCCAUAACAAGUUCCAUCAACUUGAUAGGUGGUUCAGAAGUUUAGGCCAAAAAGACUGCUGUACUCCUAAUAGUACAGUAGUCCUAUAUAUAUAUAUAUAUAUAUGUCUAAAUAGUUUUUUUUUUUUCAUAAACUAGGCUGUAUAGAAUAAUAAAAUUAGACCUCUCAAUUUUAUGGUCGGCGACCAAGAUAUCAACCUACUCUAUUAGAACGUGAUUGUAACCCAUAUAUUGCUUGAUUGUGGCACGUAGGUGGAGAAGUAAAAAAAAUAAACAUUGAUAGAAACAUUUGCGCCUAGUGUCCUAACUUUAAAGACCAAUAAGAGAUAAUGUUAGGGAAGUGUUGAGAUAAUUGGCUACGAACAAUUGCAUGCAGGAUUGGACAAGAGCUAUCAAAGAUACCAUUGUCAAGUAGCCACAAUAAAUAUGAGCGUAGAUAAAGACUAAUUAAAUCACAAGCAAUAAAGCUAUUAUCAUCAAAGGAGUGGUCGAAAAUAAUUAUGACUUAUAAAUACAAACUAUAUCUACAGAUCUCUUAUAUAUUUAUUAUUUAAAAAACUAUAUAAUAUGAUAAAAACGAUACAGAAAUAAUCUUAACAAUCCCAUUCACUAUAAGAUGGGAAUUAGAUGAAAUAUACUACGUGUGAAAAUAACUGUCUCUAAUAUUAUAGUAGUUAAAAGAUUACAAACGUGUGUGGUUUGAAUUCCACAUAAAUCACAACCACAUAAUAAAGACAUGCAAAUGCCACCAAUGAUUAUACUUUUAACUACAUAUAUAAAUGAUAAAACUUCAAAUACCACCUAUAUGGUUUCAUACUUUCUCAUUUUAGUACUUUGUGGUUUAAAGUGUAUCAAUUUAGUGUCCGGUGAUUUCAUUUUUAUCUUUUUAUUAUCGAUUUUACUAAAUUUUUCGUUAAAUUAGUGACAAAGUUAAAAGCUAAAGGAUAUUAAAGUGAAUAUUCGAUAAACCUAGGUGAGGUAUCUUAAAUUUUUUGUAUAUAAUUUAACAAAAUAUUAACGAAAAAGCUGACGAAAAGAUAAAAAUGAAACCACAGGACACUAAUUUGAUACACUUUAAACUACAUGAUAUUAAAGUGAGAAAGUGCGAAACCACAUAGGUGGUAUUUGAAGUUUACCCUAUAUAAAUCAAUGUUUGAUAACAAGUUUAUUUGCACAUUUGGUCCUGAAAACUACAAGGCAGAUAAUAGUUCGGUUCUUAAACUUUAAUUUAUUAUAAUUUCUUGCUUGUACUUUCAGAAUUUAUUACAACCAAGCUCUAAAAUUCAAUUUAGUUAACUAAAUAUUAAUAUACUACUAAUGUACAAAUGAUGUAAUGAUGUUAUGAUUGGUAAUACACUACGGGUGCAUUUAGUUCGCGCUAUCUUUUUAAGAUUUCUAUUAAUCCAACAGAAAUAAAAAAAUAUGACGGUAUUUGGCUAAACGCACUAAGUAAUAUAGUUGAUUCAUAUUUCCAGCUAAGUUUAUUUCUAAAUGAAAUAAAAGAUACGAAUAGCAUUCUAUCUAUCUCUCAAAAAAAAAAUAUAUAUAUAUAUAUAUAUUUAUAAUUCACAACAACCACAACAACCAAAAAGAAUCUUUGACAUUACAACCCCCAAAUAAUAGGAAAAACUUCUUUACUUGGGCCUGUGAAUCACCAAUAGGCAUCAAAAUCCAAAUUAAGACUGGGCUCCAUUUGCUCCAUGAUUGCAUUGUGUCGAUCCCACGCUUGUGCUAGAAUCACUUUCUUUCACAGUCGCCUCUUUAUGGGAGAAUGGAGAUAGCCCACCUCUAUGGCUCUAUGCUGGCCUUUCUCUCUACCCCUACCUCUAUAAAUCCCACCCUGUUCCUCCUCACACCAUGCACAACAACAACUACUAUAUAUUUCUCAUUAAUUAAUUCGAUCUCUCUUGAAUCCAUGGCUCGCCUUUUGCCUCUCCUCUCCUUUCUUUUGGUGAGCAAAUUCAUAUACGCGACAUGCAUGCUCUCGUUAAAACAAGUGAUUCUGUAGAAGCUCUAGCUAAGUUAAAUCGGCAUGCGAUAACAUGACAUAAGUUGUGUUUUUAAGUGGAUCUAGAUAUAUAUGAUUAGCGGUGCGUAAAUUAAGCAGAAAAUAUUUGAUGUUCGCGCAUAUAUACAAUGUGCGGCACCAGCUUAGUACCUUUUAGACCUAGAAAUGAUCAAAAUAACUGUAAUUCGUAGAAUUAUAAUUUUUUUUAAUUUUUUACUUUCUUCGCGGUUUUAUUUGAAAGAUAAUGUUGUCUUUUUCCUUCGCAAUUUAUUGUUUUAUUUUAUUUUUUAUAUAUAACAAAUUACUGAUUGAUAUUUGUAUAUUUCAGCUGGCUAUUGCAGUAGGAGCGAGUCAUGCAGCUUCGCCUGCAGAGGUCUACUGGCAGAGCGUCCUGCCCAACUCUCCCAUGCCGAGCGCAAUCCGCGACCUGCUGCUCUCUGGUUGCUCUCUCUCUCUCUCACACACAAUUAUUUUUUCUUAAAAUUUUAAAACACUAAAUGACAGUAUUUGUCUUUAAUUCCUAUUCAAAGUUAGUCAACUUUUACCAGGUUUCAAAAUAACGUAUCUCACUAUAGUUAGCAAAAGAAGGUUAAUAUUUUUAGUUAAGUUUAUUUCUAAAAAAUAAAUAAAGCAAGUUAUAUACUAUCUUUUUCUUUUUUUAAACAAAAUUCACUACAUUUAGCAAAUUUUGAUAAAAGUUAUAAUCAAAUGAUCUCACAUCGUAAGAAAACAAAUUAAUGCCUAUCGGAUCUAUUUGGGUGGAAACGUACAUGAAAAAAAGAAAAAAUAAAACUGUGAUUUGGAAAAAAAAAAAAAAAAAAAAAAAAAAAAAAAAACUCAUUUUUCCACGUUUUGGAAUGAAAGUUUAAUAGAGAAAAAAAAAUGAAGAGCAAAAAAAAUUACUCAAAAUAACAACUUUUUCUUACCUCCAAAUUAUGAGAGAAAAAUAACAUUCUAAAAAUGUUUUUUAAUUAUUUUUUAAAAGGAAAAACUUCAAAAACCUUCCCUGUGGUUUCACACUUUUUUAUUUUAAAACCAUGUGAUUUAAAGCGUAUCAAGUUAGUACCAUGUGGUUUCUCACUUUAUCACUUUAGUACUCUGUGGUUUAAAGUAUAUCAAGUUAGUAUUCUGUGGUUUUAUUUUUGUAUCAAGUUAGUACUCUAUGGUUUUAUUUUUGUAUCAAAUUAGUAGUACCCUAUGAUUUUUAAACCACAGGAUACUAAAGUGAUAAAGUGCGAAACCACAAGGUACUAACUUAAGACACUUUAAAUUAUAGGGUACUAAAAUGAAAAAGUGCAAAAGCACAUGAUACUAAGUUGAUACACUUUAAACCAUAAGGUAUUAAAGUGAGAAAAAAUGAAACCACGGGGGUAAUUAAAGUUUUUCCUUUUUAAAAUAAGCGGGAACUUUAAUUAUGAUCAUGCAUGCACACAAGCCGUAUCGAAUCUCAGUUACUACCCCUUAAUUCAAACAGAUAUAUGAUAAAAAUAUAUGUAUAUAUAUAUAUAUUACAAAUUAUGCUAUUAUAUUAUCGAUGGUAUCACGCAUUUGAUGUUAUUAGACUUUCGACCCUUAGAUAAAAGAAUGUGGAGUUAGAAUGAUAAUAAAUUUUUAGAAUUGAAUGGAUGAUUGGUUGAACAGUAUGAUAUAACGAAUAAAAAUAAUAAAAAAAUUAAUUUUGAUGGUGAAAAAUUGAAUAGCACCGAGCGUACGGUACUAUCGAUUCAAUACAAUAUUUUUAAAUAUUUACCUCUUUUUUCAAACAUACAGGGAAAGUAAGCACCUCAGAGAACGUAGACGGAGUAGGCUCCGUGUUCUUCCUGGAGAAGGACCUGCACCCGGGCUCAAAGAUGACCCUGCAUUUCACCCGGACCACCUCCGCCGCACUCCUCCCGCGCCGCGUCUCUGACUCGGUCCCUUUCUCCUCCGCCAAGCUCCCGGAGAUACUCUCCCGCUUUUCCGUCGACGCCGCCUCUGCAAGGGCCGACGCCAUCAAGAGCACCCUCGCCGAGUGCGAGGCCCCAGCCCUCGCCGGCGAGGCCAAGCUCUGUGCCACCUCGCUCGAGUCCAUGGUCGACUUUGCCACCGCCAGCCUCGGCACCCGCGACUUACAGGCCGUGUCCACCGCUGUUGGCCGUGAGGGUACGACACUGUAAAAUAACCGUUUUUCUCUGAAACCUAAAAAAAAAAAUCUCCUGUAAAAAUAGAAAACAAGAAAAUUUUACGUACUAGAGAGCGUCCCAACAGAAAGACAGUCUGAUCAAUCUCAGCCGGCAAAACUUGAGAGAUAUUUUUUAAUAUUUUAUAUUUGACAGGCACGCCGAAGCAGGCAUAUACGGUCGAGAGCGUAAAGAAGAUGUCCGCCCCAGGAUCCGAGCUGGUGGCGUGCCACGGCAUGAAGUACGCGUACGCGGUGUUCCACUGCCACACGACGACCGCGGCCGCCUACACCGUAUCGAUGGCGGGCGCCGACGGGACGAGGGUGAAGGCGCUCGCAGCGUGCCACACCGACGCGGCGGCCGGGGUCGAGGAGGCGUUCAAGAAGCUCAACGUCAAGCCCGGGAGCGUGCCGGUGUGCCACUUCCUUCCCCAGGAUGAUCUCCUGUGGAGCCGCAAUUAACAUGGCUGAUCAGGACAUGCGAAUUAUAACGUGUAAUGGACGGCUAUAGAUUAUAAUCCGGUCUGUGAUCCACGGUUUAUUGGGCCAGCUUAUUGGUGUACUAGCGUGUACGUGUGUUGUACUAUGUUUUCUGUGUCCAUGCAGACAUGGUUUGUCCUCGUCCAUAUCUAAACUGUAUCCAUGUUUCCUCUAUGUUAUAUAAAUAAGAAAACUUAUUUUAAAAUGUUGGUUUCCUGUAGAAACGAAUGCGUGCAACUAAUUGAGAUCUCACUUGAAAAUGCCUUGGGCAAAUGCACUCAUGUCUAUGUGAUAGUGAAUUCCUGCCAUCAUUUUAUAAUAUUUUUUUUAAAAAAAGAACUCAAAGAUAUUUAAAUUAUUUUUCAAAAAGAAUCUAUAUUGUCAAAAUUAGUUUUGAUAUUACCAGAAAAGGCUAGGCAAUAGCAGAAACUUCUGUGGCAAGUGGCAACAUCAGUUUCCAAUUUCAGAUAUCUUUUGAACUAUCAAAUCCAGGAGAAGAUAAUGUGUUUCCCAACUGGGCCUUAGCAAGUUAACGGGUUUGUUCGGCAGUGCUAAGUGGGCCCGAACGAUGAUGGGCCUCAUAGACCCUAUGGGUUGUGUACUGUAAUCGGAGCCGGAUCUUGAUGCGCUCGAUUCUGCUCCGCAUCAGGUUUAGUUUGGUCCUAAUUUGACUAGGGGUCAAACGCGAGUGGUGCGCUUGGGUGCGAGAUCCUCGGGCACAGACGACUCAGGGCGCCGUGCGGUGGAAUUGUAUCCCGUGCACGGCCCACGUGCCGCAAAUGGGCCGGAGGCUAGCCCGCCCGGCCACCCAAAAUCGGCCGUGCUUGUGGCCGGGGCCAAAAUUCUUGGAACCCGGCGCCAGCACGGCCGCUUUGGCACCGCACUGUUGCACCGGCCGUGCGGGCCGGCCGGGCAGUUCGGGCAGCCCUUUUUUUAUUUUAUCAAUUUUAUUUUAAAAAUUUUAAUAUUUUAAAAAUUAAAAAUAAAAAAUAUUUUUUAAAAAAAAUAUAUAUCAAUGAGCCUGGAAGAGGCCCAAAGCCCAAACUCCCAUGCAUUGGGAGUUGGACCAUUGGGAGUUGGAUUGUGUGUUGGAUUGUAAGCCACUCCCAUCAUUGGGAUGUUGGGGUUUGUAACAAGGCCUUGGGAGUUGGUUCCCAACUCGGGUUAGCCAACUCCUACGCCUAUAGCCCAAUCCAUGCCUGGCCGCGGCUCAAAGACGGCCUGCCACAUCGGCCGGCCGUGCUGUGCCGUGGGCCGGGCCCGGGCCAAGGUAAUUCUCAGGCCGCACGGCAAAGCCGCCGGGUCGUGCGGGGCCGUCCGGCCAGCGGCCACAGUAAGCUAAGGCCCCAGCACACUAGGUUGAUGCCGGCCGGGCUGGCAACGGCCCGCUACACGUACUGCGUGGCCGUGCCUGGCCCAGCCGACUCUCGUGCCGGGCCAGGCGGGCCGCGGGCCGCCCGGCCCGUUUGACACCCCUACAGACGACUCAGGGCGCCGUGUGGUGGAAUUGUAUCCCGUGCUCUCUCUCUCUCUCUCUCUCUCUCUCUCUCUCUCUGUUUCUCCCACGUUACGAUCCAUUUCCCCAACUCGAUCGCCCCCGACGAAACCCUCGUCGUCGUCAACCUCCUCCCCCCUCUCCGCCGCGCCAUGAAACCCUCGCAGAAUAAGAAGAAGAGCAGGAAGAAGAAGCCGAAGCCCUCUUCUCCCCUUCCGCCGCCCUCCCAAAGAUCCGACGCUGAAUCGAAGGGGGACGAAGGCGAGGAGAGGAAGGACCUGGAUUGGUUGAUCGACGAUACUAACCAAUCCAUUGAUUGUUAGCUAAAAAAAGAUUAUUUUAUAUAUUUUUUCUCAACUUUGAAAAUGUUUUUUAAAUUUUCUCUCACUUGGAGUCUGAUGAGAUUUUAAGCUCAAAGAUUUAAGUAUCCUAGUACGGAAUCAUGUCAAAAUUUCAUGCGUGUCGAAUAGUAUCGAUACGUGUAUACUGGUCAUAAAAAAUAUAUUUGUGCCGACACAUAAUGUCAUGAAAUAUUUAUUUUUUUUAGCAAUAUAAUAUUACAACCGUUAAUUAUAUAUCUUUAUCAAAUAUUUUAAAUUUUAUUGAAAAAAAUUAUUUACUAAUUUAAAAAAUAUAGAGUUUUGAGCUGUGCAAUCAGUACGAGGGCAGUAUCGUGCCGAUAUCUUGUUGACAUGAUAUAGUACGAUGGAUACGGCCGGUAUUGAUGGAUAUACUUAAAUUCUUUCGUUUAAACUUGUUGGUAGCCAAAUUCCCUAAUCCCUGACCCGGUCAAAGAUACCCCUCAGGAAGCGCGUCGGGAUGCGAAACAGCUGCGAAUAGUGACCCUCGAAGUUUGCACCCUUCGACUGGAUCAAGCGAUUCGGCUAAUGAGGGAUCGGAUCAGCCGAGUUCAAAAAUCUCUACUUUUAAAUCUGUUCGGCUGGAUGAGCCGAAUGUAUGGACUGUGCAGGGAUCAAUGUCGGCAGAAGAGCCGAAUGGAAGAAGUAUACAGUAACUGGUCGGCUGAAAGAGCCGAAUACCUAUAUAUACAUAUUAAUAAAACAAAGUGUGCCUGAAGGGCAUACAGACUCUGCAAAUAUGUAGUUUACAACAGAGUGAUACCCGUGGGGCAGACAGACUUCAGAAUUCUAUUUAAAAGCUACUCCUAUGAAAACAAUAAAUGCGAAAAAGAAAAUAUUACAUUUAGACUACUUCUAGAAAGCAAUAAAUGCAGAAAAUGAAAGAUAUGAAAAUGCGGCGGUCUUCUCGUUUACAGAAGAGAAAGACCGCUAUUGCAGGCUUUGAAAUUACUAUUUAUAGUAAUAUCAACUCACAUUAUUGGUUGGUUAAAAGUAGUGGGGGGAGUGGUUGUAACCAUGAUCGUGGAGGUUACGCCCACUCCUCAUAGAAGUUACGCCCUAUCGUAGAAGUUACGCCAACUUUUCAUGGAAGUUACGGCCCACUUCUCAACCGUUCUCGCCUAAACCUUCAGUCGCCUUAUUGCCUGCCGACUCCUGAUGUGCUACGCAGGGACGAAGCCAGAAUUCAAUCACAAGGGGGGCCAAAAUAUGUACAAAUAAAAAGUUUAGCAGAUAAAUAAAAUUUUAACUACUCAAAUUUUUAAUAAAAAAAUUUAGUGAUUAGAUAAUUAAUGUUAAAAAAUAUUAAAUUUAUUUUUUUAAUUUACACUUGCUUAACUUCUAAUUAUUUUAUUUGUAUUAUUUCAUUCAAAUAAUUUAAGAAUUUUACUAAAUCUAAUAAAAAUUUAGUUAGAAUUUAAUUUUUUUUAAAUUUUUGUUAAUAAAAUAAUAACAACCAAUGACUAAUAUCUAACAGAGCUAUUAAAUUUAGCAUACUAUUUUAUUUAGUUAAAUAAAUUAGCUCAUCAAAAUAAUUGGAAAGUUAAGAAUGUAUAAAUAAAAUAUUUAAAGUUGAAAGGACUUAUUUCAAAAUGCACUAUAAUUAAAAGGUUCUUAAUAUAUUUUCACCUAUAAAACACAUAAGAAGAGAGAGAGAGCUCUAUAUUAGCACUAAAAACUUUUUACAAAAUAGGCCGAUAUAUUUUAAAAAUUAACUGAAAAUAUAUAAACUACCAAAGAACUAUAAAGUAAAUAUUGAAAAGUUGAAGAGGGUCAUAGCUCCUUUGGGUCUAUAUAUGGAGUCUUGGCCCACAAGGCAACAAUUCUUUUCAAAAAUUUUCACUUUGGUCCCCUAAAUUUACAAUAUUUUAAUUUUUUUAAUAGCUUACUAGUGGAUUGUUCUGUAAUUUUAAAAAUGGGGGGGGGGUAUGGCCAUUGUCGGCCCCCACAUGGCUCCGUCCCUGGUGCUACGUAUCUUUAUUGAUUCAUACGUGGUUUACUUAAUUUUAAUUUUGGCAUCAAUAAAACUCAUGACUUCUUAAUUUACUACCAUGCACGUAAACUUUAUUUUCAGCAUUUAUAAUUCACAACAACCAAAACAACCAGAAAGAAUCUGUGACAUUACACCGGCCCGUGAAUGACCAUAGGCGUCAAAAUCCAAAUUAAUACUCGGCUCCAUUUGCUCCAUGAUUGCAUUGGGUCGAGCCCAUGCUCGUGCUAGAAUCACUUUCUCUCACAGUCGCCUCUUUAUGGGAGAUAGCCCACCUCUAUGGCUCUAUGCUGGCCUUUUUCUCUACCCCUACCUCUAUAAAUCCAACCCUGUUCCUCCUCACACCAUGCACAACAACAACUACUAUAUAUUUCUCAUUAAUUAAUUAAUUCGAUCUCUCUUGAAUCCAUGGCUCGCCUUUUGCCUCUCCUCUCCUUUCUUUUGGUGAGCAAAUUCAUAUACGCGACAUGCAUGCUUUCGUUAAAACAAGUGAUUCUGUAGAAGCUCUAGCUAAGUUGAAUCGGCGUGCGAUAACGUGACAUAAGUUGUGUUUUUAAGUGGAUCUAGAUAUAUAUGAUUAACUGUGCGUAAAUUAAGGAGAAAACAUUUGAUGUUCGCGCGUAUAUACAACGUGCGGCACCAGCUUAGUACCUUUUAGACCUAGAAAUGAUCAAAAUAACUGAAAUUCGUAGAAUUAUGAUUUUUUUAAAUUUUUACUUUCUUCGUGGUUUUAUUUGGCAGAUAAUGUUGUCUUUUUCCCUCACAAUUUAUUAUUUUAUUUUAUUUUUUAUAUAUAACAAAUUAUUGAUUGAUAUUUGUAUAUUUCAGCUGGCCAUUGCAGUAGGAGCGAGACAUGCAGCUUCGCCUGCAGAGGUCUACUGGCAGAACGUCCUGCCCAACUCUCCCAUGCCGAGCGCAAUCCGUGACCUGCUGCUCCCUGGUUGCUCUCUCUCUCUCUCUCAAUUAUUUUUUCUUAAAAUUUUAAAAUAUUAAAUGACAGUGUUAAAAUUUUAAAAUAUUAAAUAACAGUAUUUGUGUUUAAUUCGUAUUCAAAGUUAGCCAACUUUUGCGAGGUUUUAAAAUAACGCAUCUCACAUAGUUAGCAAAAGAACUUAUGAGUAUCCCAACUAGUUAAUACUUUUAGUUAAGUUUAUUUCUAAAAAAUGAAUGAAACAAGUAAUAUACUAUUUUUCUCUUUUAAAAAAAAAUCACUAGAUUUAGCAAAAUUUGAUAAAAAUUAUAAUCAAAUGAUCUCACAUCGUAAGAAAACAAAUUAAUGCCUAUCCCAUCUAUUUGGUUGGAAACGCACGCAUGAAAAAAAAAUAAAUAAAUAAAACUGUGAUUUGGAAAAAAAAAAAAAAAAAGAAAGAAAAAAACUCAUCUUUCCACGUUUUUUGGAAUGAAAGUUUAAUAGAGAAAAAAAUGAAGAGCAAAAAAAAUUACUCAUAAUAACAACUUUUUCUUAUCUCCUAAGUAUGAGAGAAAAAUAACAUUCUAAAAAUAUUUUUUAAUUAUUUUUAAAAAUAAGCGGGGGACUUCAAUUAUAAUCAUGCAUGCACACAAGCGCUAUCGAAUCUCAGUUACUACCCCUUAAUUCAAACAGUAUAUAUAUAUAUAUAGAGUCCGGCUACUAUACUAUCUAUAGUACGGGAGCUUCCGUACUAUAGUGUCGUUUUCGAUCUUCGGGCGUUCAAAUCAACGAUCCACACCGUUAAAACUGAUCUAGGAUAUUUAAAGUUUUUAGAAAUAAAUUUUUAUAUUUUUUCGACAUAGUUUACUUUAUGAUCAAAACAUUUUAAAAUUGUCAAUUUUCAAUGGCUAUUAUGACGAGUUGGGAGUUUAACGGUGUAGAAGAAUCUAAAUUUCUUCAAAUUUUGAUAGAAAAUACUUUAAACUAUAUAGAUUAAGGUUAACAUUCUUGAUCUUGAAUUUAAAAGUCCUAUGCUCAAAUUUUAAAGAGUAUUCAAUUCCCACCGUCAUUUUGACAUAAUUUAUUUACUAAGUAAACGAUGUCGAAAAAAUAAAAAUUUAUUUCUAAAAACUUAAAUACCCUAGAUCAUUUUUAACGUAUGGAUCGUUGAUUAAUGCCCAAGAUCGAAAACUACACUAUAGUACGGGAGCCUCCACUAUAUAUAUAUAUAUAUAUAUAUAUAUAUAUAUAUAUAUAUAUAUAUAUAUAUAUAUAUAUAUAUAUAUUACGAAUUAUGCUAUUAUAUUAUCGAUAGUAUCAAAUAUUUGAUGCUAUUAGAUUUUCGACCUUUAAAUAAAAGAACGUGUGAUUAGAAUAAUAACAAAUUCUUCGAAUUGAAUGGAUGGUUGGUUGAACAGUAUUAAUCUAAUAAAUGACAAUGAUCAAAAGAAUAAUUUUAACAGCGAAAAAUUUAAUAGCACCAAGCGUUUGAUAUAGUAUACUAUAUUUUAAAUAUUUGUCUUUUUUUGAAACAUAUAGGAAAAGUAACCACCUCAGCGAACGUAGACGGAGUAGGCUCCGUGUUCUUCCUGGAGAAGGACCUGCACCCGGGCUCAAAGAUGACCCUGCAUUUCACCCGGACCGCCUCCACCGCCACCGUGCUCCUCCCGCGCCGCGUCUCCGACUCGAUCCCUUUCUCUUCCGCCAAGCUCCCGGAGAUACUCUCCCGCUUCUCCGUCGACGCCGCCUCUGCAAGGGCUGACGCCAUCAAGAGCACCCUCACCGAGUGCGAGGCCCCAGCCCUCGGCGGCGAGGACUGGCUCUGCGUCACCUCGCUCGAGUCCAUGGUCAACUUCACCACUGCCAGCCUCGGCAUCCGCGACUUACGGGCCGUGUCCACCGCUGUCGGCCGUGAGGGUACGACACAGUGAAAUAACCGUUUUUCUCUGAAACCAAAGAAAAAAAAAUCUAGUGUAAACAUAGAAAACAAGAGAAUUUUAUGUACUAGAGAGCGUCCCAACAGAAAGAUAGUCCGAUCAAUCUCAGCUGGCAAAACUCGAGUGAUAUUUUCUUAAUAUUUUAUAUUCAACAGGCACGCCGAAGCAGGCAUAUACGAUCGAGAAUGUAAAGAAGAUGUCCACCCCAGGAUCCGAGCUGGUGGCAUGCCACGGCAUGAAGUAUGCGUACGCGGUGUUCCACUGCCACAUGACGACCGCGGCCGCCUACACCGUAUCGAUGGCGGGCGCCGACGGGACGAGGGUGGAGGCGCUCGCAGCGUGCCACACCGACGCGGCAGCCGGGUCGAGGAGGCGUUCAAGAAGCUCAACGUCGAGCCCUGGAGCGUGCCAGUGUGCCACUUCCUGCCCCAGGAUGAUCUCCUGUGGAGCCGCAACUAACUUGGCAGAUUAGAACAUGUGAAUUAUGACGUGGAGUGGACUGCUACAUAUUAUAAUCUGGUCUGUGAUCCAUGGUUUAUUGGGCCAGCUAACUGGUGUACUAGCGUGUAUGUGUGUUGUACUGUGUUGUCCUCGUCCUUGUCCUUGCCGGCACAUAUCUAAACUGUAUCCAUGUUUCCUCUAUGUUAUAUAAAUAAGAAAACUUAUUCUAAAAUGUUGGUUUCCUGUAGAAAUGAAUGCACGUCUAUGUGAUAGUGAAUUUUUGCUAUCAUUUUAUAACAUUUUUUUUAAAAAAAAAACUCUAUCUUAGAAUUAAAUUUAUUUUAAAAAAGAAUCGAUAUUGUCAAAAUUAGUUUUGAUAUUACCAGAAAAGCUAGGCAAUAGCAGAAACUUCUGUGGCAACAUCAGUUUCCAAUUUCAGAUAUCUUUUGAACUAUCAAAUACAGUACAAGAUAAUGUGUUUCCAAACUGGGCCUUAACAAGUUAACGGGUUUGCUCGGGCCUGCUAAGUGGGCCCGAACGAUGAUGGGCCUCAUAGGCCCUAUGGGUUGUGUACUGUAAUCGGAGCCGGAUCUUGAUGCGCUCGAUUGGGCUCCGCAUCAGGUUUAGUUUGGUCCUAAUUUGACUAGGGGUCAAACGCGAGUGGUGCGCUUGGGUGCGAGAUCCUCGGGCACAGACGACUCAGGGCGCCGUGCGGUGGAAUUGUAUCCCGUGCUCUCUCUCUCUCUCUCUCUCUCUCUCUCUCUCUACCUUUCCCACGUUACGAUCCCUUUCCCCAACUCUAUCGCCACCGACGAAACCCUCGUCGUCGUCAACCUCGUCCCCCUCUCCGCCGCGCCAUGAAACCCUCGCAGAACAAGAAGAAGAGCAGGAAGAAGAAGCCGAAGCCCUCUUCUCCCGCUCCGCCGCCCUCCCAAAGAUCCGGCGCUGAAUCGAAGGGGGACGAGGGAAUUGGAGGGGAAAAGGCCGAGGGCGAGGAGAGGAAGGACCUGGAUUGGUUGAUCGAUGCGUUCGGUUCGGUCUCCGUCGACCAGAUCGAGUCGGUGUACCGCGAGGCCGGCGGCGACGCCUACAAGGCCGCCGGAAUUCUCGGCGCUCAUCUCGAGGACCCCGGGGAGGCGCCGGCGUCGAGCGGCGGCGGCUGCGGCCGCGGCGACGGCGGCGGAGGUGGUGGCGGGAGGAGAGCGCGGCGGAAGCCCAAGAGGGUUGCGGCGGCCACGGGUAUGGUUUCGGACGUGAUCGGGAAGAGCUAUUCGAGCCCGGUAAUGGUCUGCGGCAAAGGGAGGAGGAGCGGGGAGGGGAGGGCGGAGGAAGAGAAGAGGAGGGGGGAUGCGGAGGUCGAGGAUGCGGAGCAGUUCUUGUGCUCGAUGCUGGGGGAUAGCUCGCAUCUUGGAAUGGGAGUGGUCAGAGAUGUUCUAGGUGAGCAUAGAUAUCCUUUUCUUUUUCUUUUUUUACCUUCUCCUUUUGGGGGUCAUAAGCUUUUUCUGUUUCUGUACCUGAAUUGUUCGUUGUUGGGGUUGCUUUAUGCAAAUAACUAUGGAUACAUCAAUUUUGGCAAAUUACUGGAGUAGCCUUAAGCUAAUUUCUUAAUCGAACGGCCGGAGAGUCUUCUCUCAUGAUUCAUUUAGUUAAUGCGUUCUCAGGAAGGAGACGCUGCUACAAUUCCACUUCGUCACCCUUGGGAGUGUUGCAUUUAUCUCAGAGGAAACUAUUAUUCUUGAUUGUUAAUUUGGAUUUUAAGAAAUUAUAGGUACAAUACUUUUUAUGUUUGUCGUGUAAGAUUCAGAAGGUAUUGUAUGGACAUGCAAUCUAUUAUCUGGCUAUGGUGGUUUUAAAAUGGGUGGAGGGAACAAGCGGAAGUGCUCAGGGGAGUAAUUAAGUUGCGGGAGGUAUUGUUCAUGGAGGUGGGAAGAAAUAAAUAAACAGCUAAAAAUUUUUUGUUUCGCGUUAUGAGGAUCUGAGUUUAUUGAUCAAUGAUUUUGAUUCGUCAUGUCCAGAAAGCUGUUGAAAAGAUAAAGAUACUGCCUUACAUGUUAACUUGUGAAUGGUAAAUCUGCCAAUACUCGUUUUGUUUGAAACAAGUGCUCGUUUUAUGCAUGGUACAAAAAGUAAAAGAGAAUCAACAAAAACGAACUGAUAAAUAGUAGUCAAGAAAGCAUUAAUAGAGGUGAACAUCAAAGAAGAGAUCAUAAAUGAGUUAGGAGAGGUUGAUUGGAAAUGAGGGAGAUAUUGUCUUCAACAUGUGUUAGGUGUGUUUUUAGGCAGUUCUGAUUGAAGAAAAGAGUGGGGAUUGUGCUAUGUAUCCCACUAUUCUUGCAUGAAAUAUAAAGUUCUGUGCAAUCCAUAUUGUUAAAUUGCAUAGCAUUCUUUGAUACCAUUAUGUUUUAGCGUCUUUUGAACUGUUUUCAUGGCUGGCACAAACUUUUCUCUCUGAGGUACCUAAUUGUAGGAUGUUUGUUGUAUGCUCGACGCUGAGCUUCAUACUUUUGUACCAUGUGCUCAUUACUUACUUUUUGUUUUCCUUGCAGGUCAAUGUGGAUGUGAUGUUGAGAAGGUAUUGUCUAUUUUGAUGUUCUUCAAGUACUUACAUAAGUACAUAACUUUACAUGCAUUGUCUAGAAACUUUUAUUUUAUUUUAUUUUAUUUUUUCCAUCAAAUCAAGAUGUAGAGGUGCUUCUUAAGUAGUAUGUUCUUGCCAAAUAGCCCAAUCGAAUAAAUUUGUGUCAUGAGAGUAGUAAUAGCUGAUUUACCUUUACUUUUUGUUAUGUUUGACUUGCUUGGUUUCUUCUUUAGUGUCCUUUCAGAUUAGCCAAAUUUUCAUUUUAACUGUUUUAGUUGGAAUUUUGGAUUAAAGAAUCCAAUUAAUUCCAGUUUAAAUGAAGCUGUUUUCUUUUUUUCUUUUGUCUUUUGAAGGGGGAGGGGCACCAUUUUUCAUCCUUCCCGCUUUAAAUGCUAAAUUUCAAUUUUCUACAGAUUACACAUUGUGAUUCUUGAUCACUAAAUGAGUAGAGACGUCCUUCUAUUUCAUGUGGAGGGUGCCUAACUCUGGAAACUGUAUGAGAAUUAAACUACAAAACCUAAAGUUUCUUUCAGGCUCUGGAGGUGUUACUAGAUUUAGCAGCAUCCUCCUACAACCAGCACAAGGAGAGGAGCUAUUGGAAUCAUGGAAAGAGUUGCAUGGAUUAUUCUAUUAUCUUCCGUGGGAUGUCCAGUAAAAACACCCGAGAGAACAAUAUAAACUCAUUCCAGGUACUUCUUCACCUGGUAAAAUGUUGACUGCUAUUUUCUCUUCUCAUGUCAUUAGCAUGUGAAAAUAACUGUCUCCAGGCUUGAUAUUAGGUUAGCAAAUUAUAUUUCGUGUCAUUCUGCUAAAUUAACUGAUAAACUGCAAUUGAACACUCCAUAUUUGCAGCUUGACUGAUAGAUACUGGUUUUGCAGUUUCAGUCAGUUGUAAUUGGGAUAUCUUGCCCAAAUUUCAAGUUUAUUUUGCAUGUAUACAAUGCUUUUGUUCAUGCCAGAAUAUGUGUAGUUCAAGGACGAGUCUGGUGGUAACAGAAGUAAAAGCAAGUGCUUCUACAUUCAGGCAAUCCAUUUUUUGUCUAUAGUCCUCUUGUUUUAUCUGUAAAGAAAGAAGGGGGUGUUGACCUAGAUAGUUAUGUUUUCUUUCUAGUUGAAGAGGUAGUGACAAGUGGAUCAAUCACAGCUUAUCAAAGGAGGGGAAAUGAAGAUGGUUCCCAUUGACUACUACUGCAUUGUGUGAUUUCAAUGAAAAUUUUCUUCUUUCUCUAUCAUUUUCUUGUUUCCUUUCUCACUGUUAUUCACUUUGUCAAGAUAAAAUAUUGGAGGGACUAUUUAAAUAUACUUUUGAUGCUUUUACUGGCAUGCAAUUGUUAAUCUUGCUUCUUUUCUUUUUUGCCGUAAUAAUUUUUAUUUUAAUGCUAGUUUGUCUCAGUCACCAGAUAAUACCGGUGAGAUGACCUGUCAUUCAUCUGAAAAAGAACAAGAAUUCCCACAAUAUGCAGGAUAUGAUAGCAGGUGUGCUUACUCUUUUCAUUGCUUCAUUUUUAUUGACUCUAAUAGAAGUAGCAUUACCUAUAGAUAUUAUGUAUUAUUCAUUUAAUCAUUAUGAGGGAUGUCUUUCGCUUUAAGGAUCAUUAGUGUUCAUAUCCUCUUGUGAAUAGGCCUUUUGAGUACAUUUAUUGUAUUUCGAUGAGAUGAAAACUUAAGAGGCUACGGCUCUAUGCCAUGAAUUCUGAUUCACUACUUACAACUGACAAUUUCUUAUCAUCUCCUUUAGAAAGAGUCUUCUUAGAUAUGCUCAGUGUUUCCAUGACAAGGAUAAGUCUAGCGGACCAGCAGUCAAAGAAUUAUCUAGGGAAUCCCUUUAUUUGUAGAAAGUUUUAGAAAGUUGGAUGAAAAGCGUUGGAGGACUUAAUGCAAUUAAUUUGGAUAAAAGAGUUCAAAAGAGGAACAGAUAGGAGGAAAUAGGGAUCCAAUAAGGUGUUGGAUGGUAUCAAAUGUUUCCACAGUGUCAGCUGUAAUUAAUCCUAAGGUUAAAGAGAUUACUUAACCUCCUUUUCUACUACUAAUAUUUCAUGGUAAUAUUUCUCAGGCCUACAAGAUGAUUAAUUAAAUUAGGUGCCUGAUGUUGAUAGGAUAUGACUAUUUGGCAAAAUUGUUCAUUUUAGGUUAAACCCUAGAAAGGUUUAAAGUGCCGUGGCACGGGGGCGUGCCGUUAUGUCCCUGGCACGAUACGGCACAGGCACGCUUGCGUGCCGACACGUGGCACGCUUGCGUGCCGAUAGAUACGCAUGACCUCCUACUGGCACGCUUUGGUAUGGAUUUAUUUUAGUUUUUUUGGUUCCAAUAAACUCUUAUAAUAUUAUUUUGAAAGAUUUAAACAAAAUAAUUAUGAAUAUUUACUAUAUAUACCUUACUAUACUCAUCAAUUAACAUGCAUGAAAACUUUUUGUAAGUAAAGUACAACUAUACCUGAUAUAGAAUGAAAUUAAAAUAUAAUAAUAAAAUUCACAAGUACAAUAAUUAUUUAAAUUUACAUCUUUACAUAGAGAUGACUGUUUAAUUCCACAUAGAUCGUCGCGCUUGAUCAUAUGACAUAUUGUUAUCUGCAGAUACAAGAUUUAUUUGACAAUGUUGAUAUAAGUAUUGCUGGUAUUGUGAGAAAUUCAUAUAUUCCCAAUAUUACAUCUAUAUUUUUUUGUUCUUUUAUUCUUUUAAAAAUAUCUGAUCAAAAAUUGUUUAGGAAAUUGAUUUUUGUUCCUUUGAUUUAUCGAAAGUUUCGCGGUGCAACAAAUUUUUACAAAAUUUUUUGUGAAAAAAAAAUAGAUGUUUGUGGUGGAAGUGUAUCGGCCCGAGCCCGCAGCCCACCACUGACAUCUGAGUGGGGUGCGGGGGGCUUUGCCCCCCGCGGUAUGGAUCGCUUAUGUCAAUUAAAAAUUUGCUCCUGUAUUGAUAAAUAAGAAGUUAUAAAAAAGGUAUCCGCCAAAAAGCAAAAAAGAAGUUGAAAAAAAGACAACAAAGAAAAAAAAAAAUUGGCGGCACGCACGGUACGUGCCGCCGGCACGCACCUGCCUACCGCUUUGUCUCAAGCGGCACGCAGGUGCAUGCCGCGAGAUAGGGGGGGUCCGAGACCCCCCCUUGUACCGAGCCCACGGUACGGCACGAGGGCACGGUACAGCACGCCCCUGUGCCGUACGGCAUGGGCGGCACUUCAAUCCUUGCCCUAGAUCUUAGGUCACCUGCCAUCUAACAGUACUGAUCACCAGUUUUGGAUCUUGAACCUUGUGAGUUAUCUACUUAAAAUAAACCAAAUAAUCACAGCAUCCUGUUUUAUAUGCAUCAAACUCAUGAUUUCCCAUCUUUUUGAAGAUUAAGUAUAUGUGUAUAUGUAUAUAUGGAUGUGCGUUAUGAUUUAAUGAUGCAUUUAUCUCUCUUUGAUGUUUUAGACAUUACAUGAAGGAUCUUCCUGAUUCAGAUAUUCCAACGAUGGGGAAAUCCGAAAUGCAACAUAAAAUCUUGGAGUCGUUGUUUGGUGUUACUGAGUAUCCAAAGUAUGAGCCGAAUCGUAUGAACUGGAAGACGGUAGUAAAGAAGCUAAAAUCAUUUGGGCAAGGGUUGGAAUUUAAUUCUCCCCACAUCAUAGAUACUGGAGAAAAAACUAUAAGUGGUAAAUUUCCUUUUUCAUCUAUCAUAUUAAACUUGAAAAGCUAUCUUAGCAUAUGUGUAGGAGCCUGUUUUUCUCUGAGAGAGAUUUCUUUUCUUGAGUAUCUUUUUUGGCACUUCACUGCUGGUUUUUAAGAUAGUAGUUAGAAUUAUAUGUUAAAUACGAUUUGUUUUCCUUUAAAACUGAAAGUUUGUCCUUCAUGCUAGUGUUAUCUGUAUAAUGAUAAUUACGGCAGUGACAAGUCGUACAGAAUAUUGGUUUGUGUACCCUCAGGCCAUACGGUAAUAUUACUCAUACAUUAUAAUACAUAAUUAUCCAAAGUAUUCUGUCAGACGAUGUUCACUUUGUCUUUGAGAAGUGUUUAUUUUUCACAUAACAUCCAAAGUAUUCUGUGCAACUCUUCACUUUGUGUUAAUAGCUGCAUUAUGAAUCUUCUGCUGGUUAAAAUAUGAUUGUCAUUAUGGUGUACCACUAUUACUGCAGUUAUCUAUUGAGCUAAAAUUCAAAAGGACAUUAGAUGUUUAGCUAGAUUCUAAAAUUAUGCACAAUUUAAUAACCGUGACGAAAUAGUGCUUGAAUAUUGAUAUUGACAAGGUAAGUGCAAUAUCACAGUCGUCUAAACCUAAAAACCUAGUGGAUAGGCAGGAGGCCUUUUUAGCCUUUUUAUCAGUCAUACAAUUAGCUCUUGUUUUGAGAAAUUAUUAAUGAUAGGUGCACACUCAGAAAACCUGAAGAUUGAUUUGAAUAAUCACCUACUUUUUAGUCAUUUAAUUGUAUGCAUGUUGCAUAUAAGCUUUUGAUCUGAACUUGGAUAAGUCCGCAAAAAAUGUUUUUCUCUCUCGCAUUGUGAAAUAAAAAAGGCAUACGUGACUUUUUUAUCUAUCUUUCUGAAAGUGAUUCUCUGAUAGCUUGCAAAUGGCCUAGUCUAUGUUGCUACAAGUUUGUAAAUUGUUUUGCGGAUUCAUUUUGUUUACUGGUGCUGAUGCAAAUGUUAUGACAAUUAUUGUUGCAGGUAAAGGAGAUGGUUAUCAGGAGUUCCGCGGUGUUGCCAGUAAGCAUUGGGACACGAUGAAAAUGUACUAUCAGAAAGUAAGAUACAGUUACAGUACAGUUGUACUUAGCAUACCAGUUGUGCUGCCCAAAGAGAGCUUCGAAGUAGUAUUUUCUAUCCUGCAAAUUUUAUGUCAACUCGUUUGUAGGCUGCGUUGGCGUACUCAAGAGGGGAACGUGCUUAUGCCUCUCAUCUUUCAGAGAAGGUUUCGUUUCUUCUUUUUUUCUUAAGUUGAAGUAACUUCAUGCUAGUCGGUGCUCAUACAUAUGUCUUACUAUAUUUUUGAUUGUCACAUCAGUUUAAAAUACUAUUUUGAAGGCUUAUUAAAUUCUGUUGAGCAUCCUUCAAAAUAGAGCAUCCUUCAAAAUAGUGGCAAAAAAUAAAAAAGAUUCUGGUCAAUCUAUUCGUUAUCCUAAUCUACAAUUGCAACUGUCGUGAUUAUGAUGUGUGAAUUAAAACAUAACUCUAGCUUUAGUUAUUCCUAGGAGAAUUGAAGCCAUUCAAAAAUACUUGCUUAUUUUUCUCUUUCUGUUUUACUUUUUGCUUAUAUAGUCUGUUUAUUGCCCAUAUAUUUCUGCGUUGUGCUGUUAAUACACUUUGUAUCCAUGAUAUCUAUGGUUCAAGUAGAAACAUUCUUUGUUGAUUGCGAGAAGAUUAUUCUAAUUUAUGUGCAAGUAAUGGCUUACCUUUUAUAUGUUUUAGGGCAAAUACUUUCGUGAGUUGGCCCUUGAAGCUGAUGAAAAAGCCAGUCGAGAGAUUUUUGAAGCUAGGUAAUUGCACCGGGCUAGUUCUCUCUCUCAUUAGAGAUCCCUCGUAACAUUUUCUUUGUGUAUGCAGAAACAAGAGUAUAAGAAAUACAGUCACUAUCGACUUACAUGGGCAGCAUGUCAAACAAGCUAUUGGGCUUUUGAAGCUUCACCUACUUUUAUUUUCAUAUAUUCCUUGUAAGCACAAAUACUUUGUAAUGUCAAUUUCCUAGUUCUUUACAUACAGGUGCUUUUUACUUGCAUGUGGUAGGAAUUAAAUUGUUUACUUUUACCAAUCGAAUGCUUGUUUCUUUCAAUUAGCUGUCCAUUUCCUCAGAGUUAUCACUGGAUGUGGUGUAGAUGGUGUUGGCAGGGGAAAGUUAAAGUGCUCGGUAAGAAGCAAGCAAGCUUAGAUCUGUUCCCUUUCUUAAUGAAAGAUAAUAAAAUGUUCCCCAGGUCUAAUAGUAAAAAUGUUAGAUAAGAAAGAUCUAUCAUACCUAUGACGAAAAAUCAAUAAUGAAGUCACCUUUUGGCAUGCUUUUUAUUUUUCUCUAUCAUAUGCUUUCUAUUGGAUUUAAAAUUUUGCGGUGCUUUCUUUUGCUUUCUUUUGUUACUAUGUAAUUUGUCCCUGCUCUCCCCCCAGUUUUUUCCUCCUCCUUUUCAUUGCAAGGCAAUUGUUGAUUAUAUGGUUUCUUCUGUAAUUAUGUAUAAAGUAGCUUUUAUAUGUAGGGAAAUCUUGAGGAGAUAUAAUUACACAAAUUCUUCAUGACUUCAUAUAGGACAUAAUAAUUGGAAAAGAAUUCCCAAUUCUUAAUCUCUUUUCUUAGCUUUAACUAAGUUUAUACAUGACUUCAUGUCUAUUACAGGUAAUUGGGCUUGCGAAGAAGGAAGGCAUAGAAUGGAGCGAAGAGAAUGCAGGGACUGUAAUUCUCAGGCUAGAUGGGGCGAGGAAGUAUAGUUUUGCAGAAGGCGAUAGUGAUUCUGAGUAGCUGAAGCACACGAUUAAUCUGGUCAACAGGGUGGUUAACUGCUGAUUUUUUUCUUUACAGGCUAAUAUAUGUCUUUAAUUUGUCUUAAUGUAAAUUAUUAUAGUUGUCGUAAGGGUCUAAGGAUAGGUUAUGUUGUAAUUUAUGAUGUAUCAUGUAUCUUCAGAUCUCCUUUUACACCAAAAAAUCCUCUUCUUUCUCAAAAAUAUUGUGCUAGUUGCAGUUGCCCCAAGAGUAUGAGAUUUAUAUCGUUACUGUGCUCUGUUAUCGUAUCUGAUGAGAUAAUCAUAUUUCUUGUCCCAAGAGUUACUGAUAAAUCUCAAGCCCUGGUUUUGUAUUAAUUAACGAAGAACUUUUAAAUACGCAUUGUGCUUUAGCGCAUUACAUUGAAACGCUUGUAAUUAUUUAUUUCGUUGUGAUUAGUUUGUUAUAUCGUUUGGAUUAUUCAUUGGUAUAUUAUAUUAGAAAGGGAAAACUUCAAAUAUCCCUUUGUGGUUUUGUAUUUUCUCACUUUAGUACCCUGUGGUUUAAAGUGUAUUAAGUUAGUAUCCUUUGGUUUUGUAUUUUUUCACUUUAGUAGCCUAUGGUUUCAAGCGUACAAGUUAGUAUUAUGUGGUUUCGCACUUUCUCACUUUAGUACCAUAUGGUUUAAUAUUUUGUUAAUUUAUAUACUCUAAAAUAGAUAAUAAAAAGAGAAUUGAAACCACAUGGUACUAAUUUGAUACAAAAAUGAAAUCACAGGGUACUAAUUUGAUACACUUGAAACCACAUGGUAUUAAAGUGAGAAAGUGCGAAAUCAUAAAUUACUAACUUGAUACACUUUAAAUUACAGAAUACUAAAAUGGGUAAGUUUGAAAUUACAUGAAGGGUAUUUGAAGUUUCCCCUAUUAGCAAUGACGAGCAGGAGGUAUGGAUCUAUUUUGUGCUUGUUUGUACUUUGUAUUGAUUCUGUGUAGUACGUGGUACUACAGGAUAGUAUAAGGAUAAAUUACAUUUUUGAUCCUUAAACCACUAGGAGUGACACUUCGUCCUCAACAUAUAUUUUAAUAUUUAGCUCAAUAUUUUUUAGAAUUGUUGCACUUAAAUUUUAUAAUUUAAUUUAAUUGAUUAGAUAUUGAUAAAUUUUGAUACAGAAGUGAUGUGUAAGUAUUAUGAUAAAUAAUACGAUAAUAAUUAAAAUAUUAUAUUAUUUUUAUAUUAAUAAUUUGUUUAUAUUUUAUUUAAUUAUAUUGGAAUAUAGAAUUUAAUUAUAAUAAUUUUAAAAAAUAAAGUUAAAAUUUAUAACAAAGUUUGAGGUCAAAAGGCGUGUGCCACGAGAAACUUUACCCUAAAGUAAAUAAAAUCAUAAGAAAAUGAAGUACAAAAUGGGCCUGCUUCACAACAGUUUUGACGAGUCCGACGCCCGUCCUAAGGGAAAAAAGAUGAGCACUUAUCUAGAAUCCGGAUAUAAUAUAAAUUUAAUUUUAUUAUUCUUUGUUAAAUGCUUAACUAGAGAUUUUCUGGUUGACUGUGCUUUGAGACAUUCAAAUGCGGGGUUUUUAGUGCAAUAGUCUUUUUCUAAAAUUUUAUUCUAAAAAUAGACCCGUUAAAUUUUUAUUUAUAGAUAUAGUUCUAUAAAAGCAGUGAAUGGUUCACCGCUUUUAAAAGCGGUAAAUCAUUCACCGCUUUCUUUUUUUUUCUUACUUCUUUCUAUAUUUGUACGAUGGUAAAAGCGAUGAAUGGUUCACCGUAUUUAAUUUUUUUUUACUCUUACUGAGGAGUUAUGAAUGUGGUGAAUUAUUUACCGUAUUUAAAAGUCUAUUUUUAUAAUUUUUUUAAAAAAAUUAUUUUUAUAAUUAUAAAAAUCGAUAGAAUUAUUUAUAAAAAAAAUUCUUCAAAUGCAGUUGCAGUCUAACCCAUUGUGAUCUGACAUGAAUGUUUAUUUAUUUUUUUAUUUAUUUUGAAUUAUGACUUUUUGUUUUACUUUGAGAAUUUAAAUUUUAUCGUCAUUUCAUACGAUUCGAAGCGCACAACACGGUCAUGAAGUUCCACAUUUUGUGUCAUCACGUUUCUCUGUUGCAUAUAAGAAUUUUUUAUUUUUUCGGCCUCACAAUUUCCUCUUUUUCCCCUCAUACAUUUUGCGUCUCCGUCCUCUCGUAACCACUGCACUCGUAACGUCAUCAAUGGUGAGCUCCCUCUUUCGAUCUCUUCUUCUUCUUCGCCGAAACCCUAACACCCUUCGUCGCCUCCCCGCCCAAUUCCACCUCGCCGCGGCGGCGCUCGGCACCACCCCUCCUCCUCCUCCUCUUCCUCCCCUUCUGGGUAACCUCCCCAAAACCCUCAUUGCAAGAUCCUCACUCAACCCCUCCCAUGGCCUCUCUCAUCCCUCGCCGUCGCCGUGGUUCCACGCUCCCGCCGUGGGAUUCUGCGCCGGUGCGAGCGUGGGCGACGAGGUCGGGGAAUCGCCGUUGAUGGGUUCUUCUCCUGAGCCGGAGAAGCCGAGGAGCAAGAAGAAGCCGCAGAAGAGGAAAGCGAGGUUUGAUUUCACGAAGGUCGAUGUAGCGCUUCUCCCAACCGUGAUUCUAGUGGGUCGGCCCAAUGUCGGAAAGUCGGCGCUGUUCAAUCGGUGAGAAUCUUCAAAAGUAGGGUUUUUGGGGUUUUUGCUUCUUUGCCAUUAUCCUGGUAAUUUGAAUUUUCGCUUCCCAAAGAAGUGCUAUUAAUCGAAAGCUUAUUCUGAAUUCUCGCAACUGAAGAAGCUUCUGACACUUUGAUUACCAAACACAAUAUUCAGCUUCUGCUUAUCAAGGAAAAAUAGCUUUUUUGGGAGCUUGCCAAACAUAUUAUUAACCAAAAUUUGUUUGAACAGUUUGCAGCUGCAGUAAAAGCAAAUGCUUCAAAUUGCUGAAGGCCAACCAAGCAGUUGAUGUGAUUAGUUUCCAUGUCGUUUUCUUACCUUGCAGGUUGAUUAGGCGGAGAGAGGCUCUCGUUUACAACACUCCUGGUGAUCACGUCACACGCGAUGUCCGAGAAGGGAUCGCCAAGUUGGGUGAUUUGAGAUUUAGGGUUCUGGAUUCCGCUGGCCUCGAGACUGCGGCUACUUCAGGGAGUAUACUUAGCAGGACUGCCGAGAUGACAGAAAAUGUGAUUGCAAGGUCCCAAUUCGCCAUCUUUCUGAUUGAUGUCAGGUUGGUUUCUUGUUCUUCUUGAUCACAUAUUGAUGUUUGAUUUCUCGCUGCUUAGUUAUUAGGGAAAAACACACAGAACUUAGCAGAAUUAAAAUUGUAACGGCUAUCCGUACUUCAAAAUUUCUGAUUUUUCCUCCUAACCUGUAUUUACUGUUGAUUCCUGAAAAUUCUAUCAAGUUCUAUUAUAAGUUAAGCAUUUCCGUCGGAAAAUUCAAAGAAUACUUUGUCGAGUGAUGGCAUAUUCGCUCAAAUACAGUAAUUACCUACAAAAAGGUAGUCAAAUCAAGUAAACUGUAAGGUUAGGUAGUUAAAUAGAAAUAUUUCAAGUUCAAUUACAGUUUCAACAGUCACUCAAUUUAGGGUAGCUUCAAAUUAAAGAAUUGCCAAUGAGGUAUACAUUGAAUUAUAGGGAUGGGCUGCAGCCGCUCGAUCUUGAAGUUGGGAAGUGGCUGAGGAGGCAUGCCCAGGGAGUCCGUACCAUCGUUGCAAUGAAUAAAUCCGAGUCCCUUGAUGAGCGAGGCCUUAUUACUGCAGCGGCUGGGGAGGCCUAUGCAUUAGGAUUUGGUGACCCAAUUGCCAUUUCUGCAGAGACUGGCUUGGGAAUGGCAGAGCUUUAUGAGAUCCUCCGCCCAAUGUUGGACGAUUAUAUGCUUCAACUUCCAAAAAGUACGUCUGUAAUUAUCCAUGACCUUUUGUAGAGUUUAUAGAAAAUUAAAAUUUGAAGUUCACAGACUUACCGUUAAGUAAUUGUUUGUAGAAAUCUAUAGCUAGAAUUAAACAACUGCGAUAUUUCCAACUCAUAUAUUAGCAUGGUUGAAGAGAAUGACGUUCAGAUCAUAUGGAAAAUGGAUCAUGAAUCUGAAGCUUGCAUAAUUUAUUAUAGUAAGUGAAGUUGAUUCCAUCAAAAUAUUUCUCUUUGCAAAUUUGAUUGUAAAUUACAUUUUCAGCUUCAUUUUGAAACUUUUGCUAUGCAGUUCUCUUCAACUAUGCUUUUACCAUGCUAUUCUGCUACUAAUGUCACCUAAUUUUAUUUUAAAUUUCAGUAGCAUAGAUCUCUGGCUAUAAAUUGUCAGAAGAUUCACUAGAAAGAGGUGCAUAUGGCAUGCAGUAAGGAUUGUAUCAAUUGAAAUCAGGACUCACAGUAUGUUUCAAUUUGUUGGACGAACUCUACAGUUACGCUUUAUGUUAUGAUUUAGUUGAUGAGUAGAAGUCACAAGUCAUAACCAAUCCUCUAUUUAAUGAUAUAGGCAUCUCAUAAAGUUAAAGGCAUACAGGCUUUCUUUUGGUCGUUUGCGAUAUAACUUAGUCUAUAACUCAUCCCUUUUGAUUCUUGUAGAUGAGCAUAACCAAGAGGAUACUACGUCUGAAGAGGAGAAUAACGAAGAGAGGAAGUUACCUUUGCAACUUGCAAUUGUUGGACGUCCUAAUGUUGGGAAGUCUACUCUGCUGAAUACCUUAUUACAAGAAGAAAGGGUUCUGGUUGGGCCAGAGGCUGGCUUAACAAGGGAUUCAAUUCGAGCUCAAUUUCAAUUCGAAAACCGGACUGUCUAUUUGGUAAAUUAGCAGGUUUUAUAUAUUCUUCUCAGCUAUGUUGGUCUACUGGUUUUUUGUUGUAUUUCCUGUAUUUCCAUAUGUUCUUAAUAUUUCCUCCAUUCGGAGCUUCAAAUAAUAUCCUUUUACUUAGGGAUAAAAUACCGUUUGUCCUCCCAUACUCUUUUGACAACUUGAAACACCUUUUCUCUUCAGUUUAGACUUGUGGUUUAGCAUGUUGUGAUUUUUAUCUGUAUGUGUAGCAUUGUCGCAGGCUUGUAGAAUUCUGGAUAUUCUUAUAGAAGCAUGUGAAUGUUGUAUUGACUAAUCAAGUAAUUUUUGAUGUUCAGGUGGACACUGCAGGUUGGUUACAAAGAUCAGGGCAAGAAAAGGGGCCAGCAUCAUUAAGUGUCGUACAGUCAAGAAAGAACCUUAUGAGAGCUCAUGUUGUAGCUUUAGUGCUUGAUGGAGAAGAGGUAUGGAACCUUUUUUUUCUCUGUUUCUUACUAAAAUCUAUUAGCAUGUAAUUAGAAGCCUUGCUACGCAGCCCAAAUUAUUGACAAAUGAAAGCAACCAAUCUUUCUUAUUUUGUUCUUUUCCAACUUACCACAUAAAAUAAUUCAAGACUACUCUUUAUGCUUUUGAUUCUUAUUCUGAUAACGUCAUCAACUGCUGGUGAUUCAAUAGAAUUUGAAUGUGUUUCUCUGGAUAUGUAGAUUGCAAAAGCUAAGAGCAGUAUGAAACAUGCAGAAGUAGUUAUAGCACGGCAAGCGAUUGAAGAAGGUCGUGGACUGGUCGUGAUUGUAAACAAGAUGGAUCUUCUUAGAGGAAACUCUUUAUUAAUUGGAAAAGUCAUGGAAGCUGUUCCUAAGGAAAUUCAGACUGUCAUACCUCAGGUGUGUAUAUACAGCCAUAAUAUGCAUCAUGCUGGCAGGAUAAUUUCUUAUGUUUUUUUUUUUCCUACUUUGAUGGUUAUGAAUUUAACAUUUUUACAUUUUAAAUCAAGUUGUACUCCUAGAAUUAUGGAUUUAUGGUGCAAUGAAAUUAAAAAAUUUCUAAUCGCAUUUUUUAAAAAGAUAUUUGAAGUGUAAUCAAGUUCAUUUUGUAGUUGGUGUUUGUUUGUUGUGAAACACGACUACUAUUCACCAGACUUUUCUCACUUUGGACUAGUGGCAAAUAGCUAAUUCAUACUUGCUAGUGAUUUUCUUAUGAUUUUUUUUAUUAAUUCUUGUGCAUAGCAAUAAUUUAAAGAAUUACUCAGCCAUCCAAAAGUCUGUAAAUUGGUCAUUUCAGAGAAGAUUGUGACCAUGCUACUUUCAGCUUUUUAAUCUAUUUAUCUGUUGCGCAGCAGAGUUAAGUUCCAAGUAUCAGUUAGAUGCAUUCAUAUAUAUCACUUAAUUUAUCAGGUCACUGGGAUACCAGUUGUAUUUGUUUCUGCAUUGGAAGGAAGGGGACGAGUUGCCGUCAUGCAUCAGCUCAUAGAUACUUAUGAAAAAUGGUGCUUAAGAUUGCCAACUGCGCGUCUUAAUCGCUGGUUGCGUAAGGUAAUCUAUCUUAACUAUGUUAUCGUUUUCUCACUUGUGGAUUUUAUAGUAAACUGUAAAUGACAGAAAAAAAGUAUUUCCUUAAAUACCGCUCAUGCUAAGUAUGGAUGCCAUCUCUCUUUGGAAAACUACUCUUUGUUCAGAAGCAUCUCGUUAUAUUUCCCUUGUAGCUCUUUUGGCUUGGUUGAACUUCUGCAGAAGUGUUAUUGUGUAAGCUAUUCAAAAAGGACUGGCGGCACUUUCACUAACGUUCUCACCAACAGUUGUGGCUGCAUCGGAAGUAGAUCGUUCAAAUUGGAGCUUUUGCCUUAGGGUUUAGAAACUCGAUUCAGCUAACCAGUACAGAUCCACAAGAAGAUCCUCAUUUUUGCCAAAAUGUCCAGCUGCUGCUUUUUGAACUAGAACCUUGAAGCCAAACUGGCAUUUAGUUGGGGAAAUACUACAUAACUAUCUGACCAUUGUGCUAUUUAAAUACAUAUUCCUGUUUUGCCACGCAUAUGAUCACUUGUUAUAACUUAUUACAUGGUUGGAGUGAUUAUCAAAAUAAAAAAAAAAAUGGUGAUUUCUUGCUUUUACCAGAGAGUUUUUUUUAUCAUAUUUUUGUUUGGUUCUAACAGGUUAUGAGCAGGCAUUCGUGGAAAGAUCUAGCGACCCAACCGAAGGUGAAGUACUUCACUCAGGUCAAAGCACGGCCGCCUACAUUCGUUGCCUUUCUGAGUGGGAAGGCACAGCUUUCAGAUACCGAUAUGAGGUUCUUAACGAAGUCUCUCAAGGAAGAUUUUAAUCUUGGUGGGAUCCCAAUCCGCAUCAUGCAGCGGUCCAUUCCGAGAAGAGCAGAUCCCAAUAAAAAUAGUAACAAUUUGAGAACUAGGAUGAAUUUGAGAGCCAGAUCGGACAAAAGAUUGGCACCAUCAGAACUUGCUCCUUCGUGAGGAUCUGAUACUUAUCAAUGAUUCAGAAAAGGAAAAGAAGGGUGUUUUAUUCAGGUAGUAACCAACAAAUCUUCUUCAAGUGAAGAAUUUCCACCUUGAAUUGAAAGAAUGAAGAAGAACUCGUCCGGUCUGUUCCAUAUCUAUUAACUGAGUGAAGUGGAAAAUGAUAGCAAUUGGAAUCUAGCCUCGUUUUCGACAAGAGGACUAACCUUUUCGAGUUUUAAGAACACGGGCGCUUUUUAUUAAUUCUAUUAGUUCCUAGCUGUAAUCGCGAUUACUGCAAUGGUAAGUAGCAGCGAAGAGAAGAAAAUAGUUGCUCAUGUAAAAACAUGCGAGUAUUUCAUUACACAAAAUGAUGGUAUUCAGUGGUGUAUUACUAAUAUGCUUACUUUUCUGUUCUUGGCAACUGGAUAUAAUUGGGCUUUUUGUUGGUUUCCUUUUCUGGCAGUGGGGGCAAUUUUGUUCUUCCCUGUUCUUCUGACUAAACUCCCAAACUGAGAUAAACCUAACCGAACUAAGGAUGUUAUGUUUGAGAUUUUUCAUAAUCAACUCACUGAUUAGCCAAUCUACAAUAGCUCUCAAGGCACUUCUUACUUGUUAGCACUCUUUUGAUUCUUCUUAGAAGCUUCGCAAGCAAACAUAUGAGACCAGAAAGUCCCAGAGUGAAGCAAUGAACAGAACAACUAGGGCAUGAUCAGCAGCAGCAGCAGUUUGGUCGAGAUGUCGUUCUCUUUAAAGCUGAGGUCUCUAAAGAAAAGAGAAUAAACAUCAACGAAAGUUAGUUGAUACAGGUUAUAACACAUCACGCCGCACGAAGUAAGAACUAUAUAAGAGGCCUCUUAUAUCCAACAAAAAGAACUUGAUAGGUAAAAGAUCAAAGUAAAAGAAAUACCGACAAACACGACAUCUUCUUUUGACAUGAAAUCAAGUCAACUUCGAAAAGUAAAGGUCAUUAUUCCCAAAGAAAUGCUCAUUUCUAUUAUUCCACCAGAGCACCAUUUUAAGAGGGAAAAUUUACGAUUCCCGAAACAUCACUGUGGAGAAAAGAGAGUUGAGAAUCGAGAAAGAGCAGAGAGAUCUGGUUGUUAAAUAGAACGGAAGCCUAUUGUCUCUAUGAGCAGUUGUUGUCCUCCGAUGAUCGCCCAGCUGUCUCAACAUUUUCAGCAGCAGCAGCUGCCGCGGUUGCGGCCUCACUCAAACCCAUCUUCUGUAGCUCGUUAAGAAACCCAUCGACAUCGGCAUCACUUAUUCUGUAUGGAGUGUGAGCCGGACCGGGAAAAGACCGGCUCUCCACUUCUUGCUUAUACUCUGACAGUGCCUUGUUGAUGGCAUCACCCACAUGUCCAAACUGCUUACAAAAUUUAGGGGUUACCUGUAAAAGUGGUAAAAAGCAGCAGAUUAGUCAGCGCACAUGAGAGCACAGGGAGCAAAUGAUGCAGUGCAUGCGACAGGUUUUGUUCACACGAUGGUUGUUUGUGAAACCCUAAGAAGUUACGUUCCUCCAAACUUGCUGAGCAGUUAUUGGGCAGUUAUAUCUGAAAACAGGCAUUAGCAUAUGCCUGGUGGGUGGAGCUUCUGCGGCAGCUGAUAGCAGCAAAAGCUCCGUACUUUGGGAUUGCAAGACACCUAGCUACUGCUGCUCAGAGUAGAGAAGCAAUUUCAAAAGCCAAGUCAAAGAGGCACUAAGAAAGAGAAUCAGACGUGGCAUUUACCUUGGCAUGAUGAGGAUGUUGCAGCAUUCCCAGCAAGUCGUGGUAAACUAAUACCUGCAAGAAAAAUAACAUUAGCAGGUCCUUAAUAUGCAGCACUCAUGAUAAUAUUCAAACACGCAAAUAAACUUUUGUUGCAAAUUUGACAUGGAUAAUCCAGGAUAUAAUUUGCAAGAAAGGUAUAGCUAUUUAAUUUGAAGGCAAGGAAACUAAAUAGCAAAGCUAAGAAAAUAAGCCACCAGUUGUAUCGAGAUUUGCUGCAUGAAAAUGAAUUAAACCCUACCUAUACGACAAAAUGUUUAUAGACCAAGCAAGACAACUAUAGAAAAUGAAUUCAGUUGAUGGUAAACAAUUGGAACAGCAAGAGAUGUGCAAAUAAUGACUUCAUAAACACUUCGAAAUGUCAGAUCUUCUUCGGCCAUAACAUAUAAUAAAUGCCGACAGGCAGCAUUAGUGCUUAUCGAGAAUAAAACCAUUUUGCCUUCUCAAACGCUUUCCCAAUGUUUUAGCCUCCCAGUAGCUUUGGUUGCUUUCUUCAAGUCCUUCCUGAAUUUUAUGAUUAAGUUUGAUAUGACCUGACAAAUUAGUGACUAUUUAAUUUAGUUCAUAAUGCUGCAGGAGAGUUUGUCUAACAGUCAGCUGAUGCAACAAACACCAGUAAUUAAAGGAAAAUUAGGCUUAACAAAGAUUGGCAUAUCUAGAAGUAUCCUAUCUAAUUAUUGUAAGCACUCUCAAACUUGGAUUAUUAACUUCCUUCAAAUGGGAAUGUCUGAGAGAAUGGAAGGCAUAUAAAAGCAUAAAGUAAUUCCCAUUCAAGCUCAAUGAUGCAGUUUGCCACCCCAGGAGUCUCUUCGAUAAACUCAUGGAACAGAAUCCAGAAACCUAAUGAACAUAAAUGUGAGAAGUGGUGAAUAGGGAGAAUGCAUGAGCUCUUUGUUUCUCACUCCAUAAUCCUGAGUUGCUGACGGCUGACGCAUGUUAAAACUGCUUUCCUUGCUCAAAGCGUCUUCUUGAAAUAUCUUACUAAAUAUAACUCAGUGAAAAAUAACUGAUUCAGGCAUACAAUAUAACCAAAAUAUUUCUGAGACGAAGAGACUCGACUUGCCAAACCCUUGGAUGCAAUAAAGGGUACUCUGCAUAUAUGCAACAUUGCAAUAUACAAAAUCAUGAAAAUAGUCCUCAAAGUUUGCAUUGAACCUACCAGUAAAGACCUUGUUCGCACGUGUGCCUGUUGGAGGUAUCUAUUCAAUGGAUUUUGCAUACAUACCCCUGGCAGCAGAAGAAUGCAGUUUUCAGGGGCGGACACUUAAAUAUUAGCUUUACACGGACAUUUGCGCAGUUUUGCAUAUUGGCAAAGUUACAUGCACAAAAAGCUCUAGAAUAAGUCAUGUCCUUUCACAGAGUAAGCUGUGCCUUACUAUCCAGUGCACUUGAAAGUAUUCAAGGUGUUCUUUACAAUUUUCUCAAUAUAAAGAGUCAAUCGAAGUACAGUAAUAUAUCACACGUACAAAGAGAUUAACCAAAGUACAGCAAUAUGUCAUUAAUACAACACGAUACAUAAUUCAACAAUAUUUGGUAAGCAAGUUUUUGCCAUCUACUGCACAUAUAUGACAAGAUUUUUUUUAAAGCACUAUAGCUUAUUUUAACAGCACGACACUAUGCUAUUCAAAUAGCACUACAUGCGACAUCCCGGCCAAACCAAACAAGCCGUUUGUGCCUAUUCAUUUAGGGACUCUCAGCUAAUUGAUUCUUCAAGGUGCAACAGUUUCGCCUUCUUAUUGCUGCUACCUUCAUUUACUCUGGCAAGCUAAUCAACUUUUAGAAAGAUUAAAUCUCUUUAGGAAUAGCAACACACUUUCGAGACAAACUGUUGCUUAACCCUAUUAUCUGUAUCACCGGUCAGUUUAGUUUCGGCAAUAUAUACAUCGUUACAAUCUCAACACAAUCGUGGUUUUUCGAUCAAAAUAAGAGGAAAGGCAUCUCGUUAUGCUCAUCGUGCAACGUUGAAGAACUAACUAACCUGGCCACUGCAGAACGGCCCUGCACCAAUCCCUAUAGUGGGAAUCUCUAAGGCCUUGGUAGCGGCUGCCGCCACAGGUGCUGGCACGCACUCCAACACAAUCGAGAAGCACCCUGCCUUCUGCAAGGCAAGUGCUGUCUCCACCACCUACACCCAAAAAAAAAAUAAUAAUAAUAACAAUAAAACUAAAAAUAAAACAAUCUCCACUCAAUCAAUUCAUCAAACAUCUGGCAUGCGCAAUCAGAAAAAAGGAGCCCCACCUUAAUGGCGCUUUCAACCGUCUUCCCCUGGGGCCGGAACCCACCGAGCACGCUGAUGGCCUGCGGCGUCAACCCCACAUGGCCCAUGACAGCGAUCCCCGCCUCAACGAUUGCCUUUGCGGCUGUUAUCCUCGACGGUGCUGCGCCUUCAAGCUUGAUCGCGUCCAUGCCCCCUUCUUUGAGCAUCCUCACCGCUGAGUCCACCGCCUACACUGCCCCAAGAAGAAGAAGAAGAAGAAGAAGAAGAAACACAACAAAGAAACAAUAAGAGAGAUGUCCCCAGAAGAUCGAUCUAAUGGUAACACUUCCACUCACGUGCAUACUGGAAAUCAAGUAAACAAUAUUGCAUGCCCUAAUAGAAGAGGUAAUCGAUCUAAUAGUAAACAGUCCAAGAAUAGUCUCAGCACAUCUAUUCACAUGCAUAAUAGAGAUUAAGUAAUCUAGAACUAAACCGUCCAUGAAUGAGAGUCUCGACACCUUAGCUCACGUGCAUAAUGAAGAUCACGUAUGCUACAACACGUGCACUGACAGAAGAGACGGACUCUGAUAUCAUGUUAUCGAAAAGAUGAGAUGCGGGGUGAUGUGAAAUGAGUGCCUGGGAGGGGGAGGACUCGUAGGAGCCGAAGGGGAGGUCGCCGACGAGGAGGGGGCGGGGGGCGCCGCGGGCGACGGCGCGGCAGUGGGCGAGCAUGAGGUCGAGGGGGAUGGGGAGGGUGGUGUCGUGGCCGUGGACGACCAUGGCGGCGGAGUCGCCGACGAGGCAGACGUCGACGCCGGCGCGGUCGACGUGCACGGCCGACGGGUAGUCGUACGCGGUCACCAUCGUGAUCGCCUCCCCGCGCCGCUGCUUCUGCCGCAGCUGACCCAGCGUCACCCGCCGCCCCAAGCUCUGCUCCCGCGGCCCCCCGUACACCGCCCCCUCCGGCACGUUGCUCAUCCACCGCCGCGCCGCCCACCGAAACAUCGUCGCCCUAAUUAUUUUCCUCCUUGAUUUGUUGUUCUCUUCUUUCUUCUUCUUGAUCUGUUGUCCUCUGAUCUGCCGCUUCCCCACGGGCUUCUCCUUCUCCCCCCUCCCCAACCGCCGCCCCACCUACCAAAAAAAAAAAAACAAAGAAAAAGAAAAAGCCAAGACAGACGAACGAGGGCUUAAAAAGAAAGGGUUCUUUUCGAGGAAUUCUACAUUAUCACACUUGCACCACGUCAUCAAUAACAAACUAAUUAUAUUUAUUUUUUUCAAACAAAAAUAUAAUAAAAAUAUUUUUUUAUAAUUAUGAUAGAAUAUAUAUUUUUUAAAAAAAAUAUUUGAUUAAUUUGUUAUGUCACGUCACCAAUAUACCUGUUGCAUUCUAGAAUUUUUCGCUCUUUUCAGGGUGUACUUA